CCCCUUUUAUUACCCACCCUGAUCAAAUUCUAAACACCUUAUUCCUCAUGAACUAGACUCCCCUGACAUCGACAUUACUGGGGGCUGUUGCGUGAUUUAUGUAGUAGUGGUGGUGUGAUGGGUUCCACGGGUACGGUCACGGUCAUGCUCACCACCUGUAUGUUGCUGUCCGUAGUAUUGAGCUCUGUCUUUAAUAUCCUGAGCUUUGGUUCCCAGCUUCAUCCUUGCACUGUCCAACUUAUCUGACCCCUGUGGGUGCUCUCCCGUUGCGUACCUAUUCAAUCACACACACACACACACACGCAUGCAUCCAUCAAUUUACACACACACAUAAAAGUGAACGUCUAUGUUCAAUUAGCCAGAGCUUAUUCAGAUGUUUAUGUAUAUAUGCUUUUAAGUUUUAGUGUCCUCUCAUGGCAUAUCUGAUUAUUGUUAAAUAUUAUCUUUAGUUAAGACCUUACCUUUUGGUAAGGUGCAGAUAUACAUAUAACACAAAUUGAAAAUUUAUAUCUGUGAUAAUUUUUUUGCUUACUUAUAGAUCCAGGAGAAGACGGUUAUAGCUGCAAUGCCAAACCCACCAGAGGAGAGAAAGCCAGUGAUGAGAAGUGCUACGGUGAUGAGAGCCGGCACGAGGAUUGGGCUAAAGAUAACAAGCAGAGGAGUGGCAACAGUCAAAGCAAUGACUGUUCCGACAAGGGUGAGACUGGAGAGGACAAGAAGGGACCCUCCGGCGGUGACUGCGGUAGCAGCUUUAGCAAUCUGCCUAGUCUUGGAGUAGUCUUGGCCCGACGUCUGGUAGUCUGAUCGUCCGUAAGGAUACUGGUCUCGGUCUCGGCCCAAUAUCGGGUACUGGUCACGGCUGGUUAUGUCGUGAUGGGUUCUAGCAGUAUCCGCCAUUAUGAUCUUGUUGAAGAGAGAGAUGAGUUUAUGUUUUGAAGUAGCUAUGAUUGUUGUAAAUUGAUUAGAUAUAUGAAGAGAAGGGAGGGGGAAAGAGAGUCAUGUGUCAAUGGCGUCAUCAUGCAAUAGUAUCCACGUGUUGGUGGCGUCACCAUGCAGACGCUGCAGGUGUAAACUAGAGGGGUCUACUUGAGGACACGUUUGUGUUUUUGUCUCGUUCCUGUGAAUGUGGCGUUGGCAAUGAACCGAACGUACACUUUAUGAAAACGGACCAUUGGGCUGAUUAUUAUGGUGGUUUCAGGGCUUUCAAGGCCUUUCCAUGAGUUUCUUCUUAACAACAAAAAGUCAAAUAUCGAACGUAAACCCAAGACUAUUUUUGAGCAUACCAUAAAGUUACAUAUUACAUUGAUUACAAUGACAAGGAAGAACUAUAUCAAGAUACCAUAUCAAGAUUCACAGCAACGAGAGCUUGAAGAAGAUGAGAUGGAAGAAAAUUUGUUAUGAAUGUUGAAAUUUCUCAUUAAUUAAAACUGUACAGUAUGUUCAGUAUAUAUACUCUAAUACAAUCUCGCUAACCUAAGCUUUAUAUGUACACCACUUAUACACCCAUGUUGCUAACCUACACCAGUGAGCUGAUACACCUUUGAUAGAACAUGGCCUGAAGAAUAAUCAGCAUAUGAAUAAUAAUAAUAUUAUAAUAGUGACCUUUUCCAACUCUACAAUGGAACAGCUUCAGUGAGUUGUCUCAUCCAAUCGUAACUUCCAGAAAAAGAAAUGUAACCAACGGUCUAAUAUAGCAAAAGUAAAUGCUCUGAAACCAAGAAAGGUCAGAAGGAAAUUAAAAAAAAAAGAGUCUACUCAGUCUAGGAAGCCUGAGCCGUAGGUUUCUUCUGAACAAGAUCCUCAAUCAAAUCAGCUGCUUCUUGAAUCGUCGUAAUGUUCUGAGCUUCAGUUUCCUCCACACUUAUAUCAAACUUUUCCUCCAAAGCCAUCACUAUCUCCACCUGUAACCAUAUAUUCACAUGACAAUAUUAUUUGAAUAACUAAAUAACUAACAAAAUAAUCGUUGAUAUGAAAGGAGAGAGAGAGUGAGAGAGUAUAAUAACAUACGGUGUCUAGAGAAUCAGCGCCAAGAGCAGAGAACUUUGACUCGGCAGUGAGUGCAGUGUCUGCGGACAAAGCCAAUUGUUCCUUUACAAUGUCACUCACUUUCUGUACCGUCUCUGGUUUUGCCUACACAUAUUACCAUCUAACUUAUUGCAUUUCUCAUAUAGUUCACUUUUUGAGACUCAGACAAAUCUUUUAUACGUACUGCACAACUGAUUUGAAGACGGAUCCUCUUUGAAGACUGGAAACGACCAAAGGAGAUAGAUUGAAAACUCGACGCUUUACGCAACACCUGAUGAUGAUUACAGUAUACAAAGCUAAUUACGUUAUAUUUGAACAUUACUAAGAAAGCAAACAAAAAUGGAAUACGUUGAGCAUACACGUUUUAAAGUCGCAUGAUAUAUUCGUGGUGGUGGAUUGUAUGGGAGCUUUGAAGCUAAGAGAAGUGGUUGAUAGGGAAGCCAUUGAAGGAGGGAGAUUAAGCCAGUACACAGACCUAACGCAACCACCAGUACACGAAGAUGAAUCUUUUUGUUCCAAGGCGGAGGACACGGAUACGGCUCCGUUCCCUGAGCUGAGACGCAAACAAAAGUCUUCUGUUAUGUUAUGUGGCCGAGGUUUGUUAUCGCGGAUCCAGACCUAUCUUCGGAACAUGUUGCUAUGGGUCCCACAUUUUGCAACUAGACCCAAUCCCAAUUAACUAUUUCAAAGACCUAUAUUGGUUUUCGGCCGUAUCUUGUUUUUUUUUAAUAGGUAAACUUCUUAUUAAACAGAAAUUACAAAGUCAUUAUAGAAAUUACAAAAGUUGUGUUUGGUCUUCUUUUCCUCAUCGAGAAUUCUAUUUUUCAAUUGUAUUAUAAAAACCCAAUGAUUUCGUCAAUACUUCAGGAGAGUUGACAAAUGUUCUUUUAGUAAUCAUUUUCUUUUUCGGCGGUAUCUUCUUUAAUAUUUCAUUUUCUAGCUAUAAAUGAUUUAUAAUAAAUCUUUAAUCUCAAUCUGUCAUUUUUAGUAGUUUGUUAAUUAUUUCUUCUAGAAUAAAAACAGAUGAACACAUACAUGACAAGUAACAAGAGUACCUCAAAGAUAAAUAAACGGAAUCAAUAUAAUUUAUUUUUAUGCUUUUCUUCUGAUAAAAUCUAAGUAUACAAGAAAGAUUAAAAGAACUUCAACAGUACGAAUAAGCAAAUAGUAAAAAAAUGUGAAGAAAAUAUUCAGGAACGACGAGCAGCGGAGGCAGUUAAGACUGUAAGAACGAACAAGAGUAGAAAAGAGACGAAGGACAAAGCGAGUGAGAGUGUAGUACGAUUGCAAUAAUUAUGGACAUAACCGCAGAUCGGAAGCCAACCGGCGUGUGUAUUACCAUACUUUCCGAUAUAUCCCUCCGACAUGGCCGCAGAGAAAGCCGAUAACGCCGUCAACGUCAUAAGCUGUAUAACAUUACAUAUCAAACCCCAUCUCAAAACGUUCAUAUAUAUAUAUAUAUAUAUAUAUAUUUUUCAUAUAGAAAAUAAUUACCAAAUCAAAGAAGAAGAGUGCAAAAAUAAAUCCUCCUCUACGGACAGCCAAACAAGCCCAUGCAAGCGUAAACAACGUCACGGCGGAGAUAGCUAUAUAUGCGAAAACCAAAUACCUGUGUAACAUAUCAAAGCAUACUCGAUGUCUUAGUUUAUUGUAACAAUUGGUUUUGGGUCUCCCAUAAUGAUUCGGGUUAAAUGGUUUAAGGUCCAUGUUCUAGGUUUCAAGUGAGAUAUAUGAAUGAGAUAUGAGAAACUCAAUAAUGGAUUUAUUUUACAUAUUCUUCUACGUUAUAGUAGAUGGAUAUUUCGUCUAUAAUAUUUCUCAAUUUUUGCAUCUUUCUACCAGCAUCCGUGUAUUAAUUUCCAAACGUGAUUUGGUGCAAUUUCAUGCGGAUUGAUGAUUUAUCAUUCCAUCAUCUUCACUAAUUAGAUCAGUAAGUGUACCUUGAUAAAAUGAGCAAAAGAGAGUACCUAAAGGCCGAGGAGUCGCUGUAUUUAGCCUCAAAAGCAAUACCAUAAACAGAGGCAACUUCACGGUUAGUGAUCAUGAGCCCCAUGGAGGCCAGUGCAGCGCCAAGGGUUAACACUCUCAUCGACACUUGAACCUUAAGAUUCAUUAGUGUUCUUUUCCCAACACUGUCUCCCAUUAUUACUCAGAUUCAAACUUUACUUUCCUUGUUAAUUGAUGAAAAGGGGACAAAUUAUACAAAUAAGACAAAGAUAUGGUUGUUGUUGUUGUUGUUGUUUGUUUGGUGUGGUGUAAAAUCCCAAUACUCCAAGAAGACAAGAGAAAGAUAAGAGAAAUGGUCUGAAAAAUAAGAGAUAGAGGAAGGGAAUUUAUAGCAAAUUAGCAUGUGGAUAGGAUCACAAAACAAUAUAUUUGAGGACGUUGGAUGAUCGAAUCCUCUGCCUAAACAGAUGGGCACUUUCAGUUUGAAUACAUCAAUUUUGGUCACAAAACUUUGUAUAUUCACGUGAUUGUUUUUCUAGAAAAGAGUUCCACGUGUUUUCUUAUAGUAUUUGGUCUUUAGAAAAGAAUUGGGAUAUAUAAUGAACGUUAUUUCUAUUAAUAACAACGAAGAUCACAAAUUCUCCUAAAUGAACUUAAACAAAAUUAUCUUAUUUUGUCAAACGUAUAGUCUCUAGGCUGGCAAAAAAAAAAAAAUUGUUAUCAUUUACAAAGCAGCUAGUUCGUUCCUUAACAUGCUUAUACAAAACAUACAUUUUUCCGUAAAGAAUAAAAUAAAUCUAUGAUGGUCAGACGUUAUCACGUUGAAUUUUACUCAUCCAUUUUUUAUGUAAAGUUUUAAUUAUUAUUUUACGUAGUAAGUUUUCGGAAAAGAAACAAACUCAACUUUCUGGAAACAAAGUUGAUACCUAGGGGACUUAUCAGAAAUGGUAAGAGCGUAUCAAAGUCAUGUAGUGAUACAUUCCAACCUUAUUAGUUUUUUUUUUUUUUACCAAAAUGUGAAUUUCAUAUAUAAUAUGAGACGAGUUUGUAAUGCUACAAAAGUUUUAGAGCUAAAUUAGGUAAACCUUGACAAAAAAAUAAACAAGGCUAAGCUAACAUCUAAUGAGGUCCCAAGAGGUUACUCAUAACGUAUCCAAUUAGUUUUCUUGUACGUUUUCUUGUACGACGCAAUUACAAUAGCGAAUACAAAUGGUCCAAGGUCGCGUGAUUCAUUAUGAAGUUCGAUACUGUCCUGCAGCAUCAAUUCUUGUUUCAUAGCACGCUACAUGUUGUAAUGGAUUGUUGUAUAGCUAUUAAGUCACUCACUAAAGUAAAGUUCUAUUCGUCGAGCUGUAUUUUAAUGGUAAUUAAUAUAGGGCAACGAAAUAAAGCUAUUUGUUAGCAAAUAAAACAUAGCUCUCUCACAGACUCCAUCCACUCUUUGGUUCUCAAGCGACUUGUUGUUCAUGCAACAAUCUAUAACACUUGGGCAGAACGGAAUAAGUGGCUCCACGACAGGACAUCAUCAACACCUCCACGAUUUACAAGCUCAUUGACCAAAACAUCAGAGACACAAUCUUGGGAAAACAACACAAGAAGAGCUUCAAAACAGUUAUGCUAUCAUGGCUAAGGAAUGUUUACGAAAUAUUCUUCUCAUAUGGGCUUCACUUUGUUUUUAACCUUUUUUUGCCAAAGUCUAUCUCAUCUUGUUCUUCAAUUUUGUAAGAGCAUCCUUAUAGCUAAGAGCAGCAUUAUCUCUAAAACCCACAUUGUGGUUUUUUUAAUUUUUCUUUUGUCUAAUUAAAUUUUUUUUUUAAAGUACACCAAUCGCGGGUUGCCACGUGUAUCGGUGGGGUUCGUGAACAGUGCAAAGAAGCAACAACAAUUGAUCCUUAUCUGAAGCCUUUUGGGACCGGUUUUCAUGUUUUUUGUGAGACCCAAGGGCUAAAAACUCCUUUAAUAUCAUGUGUUGUUGAUGCUCUAAGUAUCUUAUGUAGAGUAUCUGAUUAGUAAAUAAUAGUAAUUUCAGUAUAAGCAAAUUACAUAACUAAAACUAUAGCACUGAAUCAGUAAUAAAAUAACAUGUGGCAAAAAGUAUCUAGAAGGGUUCUAAGGCCAUCAACCGUGGAAAGAGAUCCACCUUGAUUUCUUAAAAAUAAAAGAAAAUAUUUAAAAAAAAGAAAAAUUAUCACAAGAUGACAUGUGUAAUCUGAAAUUUGUUUAUCCAAUUAUAAUAAGACAGGUGUAGAAAUUCUCUCUUUACAAAUGGGCUUCAGCUCUUCUGCGAGGGAUGACCCCCUCUCUCUUUCUUAUUUUUUGUAAUUUUUUUAUUUUUAUAUUCAUGAGAGAUGAAUUGAAAACUCCCCACUGUUGAUGGCCUAAAAACUUUAUUAUAUGAGAAACAAUUUCUAUUAUCUUUCCUACUUUUUCUAUUUUUUCUUUAUUUAAAUUAUCUAGACACUCUGAAAGAUACUGCCGUUGGUGCUACUCUACAGUUUUACAAACCUUUCUCAUUUUAUGUGAAACUCACAUCCUUCGCAAAAAAGUUCUAAUAAGUUUUUGUAUAUCUUUCAUUUUAUCAUUUACAUAAUGCACCAACAUUCGUAAGAUUGUAUAAUAUACUGUAAGUGUGUUAUUUUAAUCUGAGAUGUCUGAAGAAGUAUUCAGAUUCUGAUGUACUGCUUAUGUAUGGGACAUUGAAGCAGAUGCUCUUCUCCUAUACGCUACUCAAUUUUUCUGACAUAUUUUAGACUCUCAGUUAAAUAUAUUUGAAUUCGAAUAUACGAUACAAAAAGAGUGAAAAAGUAAGGACGAGGAGUAAUGGCUGGGAAAGAAUGUUAACCAUCUAAUUAGGAAUCUGCAUGGUUGGAUGGAACCCCUCCCUUUGACCGUAGAAGAACCACAGAUACUUCAUAAAGUAAAAAAUUUCAUUGCUAAUUAUAUACUUAUUUUAAUGCAUAUAUUAUUCAAUGAGUCAAUUAGUCUUUGAAGCUAGUGAGACCAAAAACGAAAGGUGGAAAUAAUAAUCAAGAUUCACAAGUCAAUGCUUUUGAUACGCUUUUUGUUUCAACCAUACGUUUUCUGUUUGCCAUUUGAUAGGUUAUUUGUUGUUUACUGUAUAAUUACUUUUCACAAAGUAACAAAUACAUUAAGUGAUGAAUUGAUACUACGUACAAGCUUAUAAAAUGAAUACUACACUUUGCCACAAAACGAAGAUGAUUGCAUCCACUAAUUUAUAUCAAAUAAUUCCAGUAAUAUCAGCUUAACAAAUUAAAUUUUUGAUCUGAUUUUUUUUUUUUGCUAAAAAUUUGAUGAUAUUUUAUGAUAGAACAAAAUAGAUUAUCUAGUAAUAAACUGAAGAUUGUUGUUGGAUACGACAAUACUUGCAUAGAUGAUUAGAUUAACAUGGAAUCAACCAAGUGGAACAUCAAGAAGCAUGCUGAUGAACAUCAAGAAGCAUUCUGAUGAAUCUUACCUAUACGCACUACUCUUUGUUUUAUACAUUUAAUUUUAGCUUUCUUCUCUCGUCGGUUUACACGGAACACAUAGCAUUAUUAUUUGUUGUUAUGAGAGCUAAUAAACUAAAAUUAGGUACGGACCUAAUUUUGGCUGCCAAAUGAUGAAGUUCUCAGAGACAACAUAAAAUAUGUCACACGUGGCGGAGACCUAAACGUUCAGCUUUCACUUGUACGACGACCGAAAUGAGCCAACAUGGGUUGUACCUCAAUGGAACUUCAGAAUGUAACAUAGGAGUUGAUUAGCUAGUUCGAGUCCUGGUGGAAUAGUAAUUUACAAACGUAUACGUUAUACGUAUGGGUAUUGAAACAAAGAUCUAAUUUAAUUAGCUAGUUCAAGUCCUGGUAGAAUACUGAAAAUUAGGUGAUGUAUACAAAUAUAGUGAUGACUGAUGAAAAAUAACCACCAAGUGUAUUUAUGGAAAACUCAUAGCCGAUCAAUGGUUUAUUUUAUUGGUCAGGCCAAAAGAACAAAUUACCAAUAAGUUUAGCUCAAUUAUUUUAUUUGGUUUAAAAGAAAGAAAGCUCACUUAAAUGACUACUAUAAUAAUAAUGGUUAACCAUGGUUCGGCAUAAAAGUUUGACACAAAUAUAAUACACGCCAAAGAGUGCAUACCACAUAAAAUGAUCGAAUCAUUUUCAUUUUUGAAAACUUUAGAAAUAUACCAUAAAAAAAUGCGAUGUUCUUCUCUCUCGUAUACAGAACGACGACGUCGCAAACAUAUUAGUAUUGUACCCUUGCACAUAACCGUCUCUAUAUAUAGUGUGUGCCAUUGGCCUUGCAGUUAAAUUCAUAUCGAAGAAAAUUCAAUUAGAGCUGUCAAGGGUUAAAGAUCUCCUCUUGUUUCCUUACUCAUUUAUUCGAUAGUCUCAUUCAACUCGAGAGAUCAUUCACAAAACGAUCAAAAUGGCUCUAAACGUAUUGGCAUUUACGUUUGGAAUCAUGGGUAAGUAUAUAAUAAGCUUUCAUCAACAAACAUCAAACUUAUCAUAUACAAUAUAUACAUGUUAAUAUACGUACAUGUCCAUUUUCACUCAUGUUAUCAAUUCUAUAUGCAUUUUUGUAGGCAACAUCAUAUCGUUCAUCGUGUUCUUGGCACCAGUGUAAGCAACAUCGAUCUCAAACUCACUCUUUCUUUUUCGUUUCCUUUGUAUCGAGUCCCUAAAAAUAUAUAUUUUGGAUCUUAUUUUUCAUGUACAUGCAGGCCAACUUUUGUUAGGAUCUGCAAGAAAAAAUCGACAGAAGGCUUUCAAUCACUUCCCUAUGUGUCAGCGCUCUUUAGUGCGAUGCUAUGGAUUUACUACGCUAUGCAAAAAGAUGGAUCAGGCUUCCUCCUGAUUACCAUAAACUCUGUGGGAUGUUUUAUCGAAACCAUCUACAUUGUCCUCUUCAUAACAUAUGCUAACAAGAAAGCAAGAGUACGAGCGUGUGAACCAUAUCAUUCAAUUUGUUAUAUUUGAAAUGCACUUAUAUAAAAAUUGGUUAGCUGAUGAUAUAUAUACAUAAACAACCUGUAGAUAUCAACUUUGAAGGUUCUUGGGCUCUUGAAUUUCUUGGGGUUUGCCGCUAUUAUUCUUGUCUGUGAGUUAUUGACCAAAGGAUUAAACCGUGAGAAAGUCCUUGGAGGGAUUUGCGUCGGAUUUUCCGUUUGCGUCUUCGCAGCUCCUUUGAGCAUCAUGGUAAUGUACUCGCUCCACUACAUACACAUAUAUGUUUGCAAGGAGGCAUGCUAGUGGCUAGCAAGAAUAUAAUAGACUUCAUAAAGAAACUAGUUAAUAGCUCAACAUUUUUGUCUUUUUUUUUUUCUGGUAUUAGAAUAUUUUUAUGUUUACGUAUAUUAUAUAGUUUAACAUGUGAAAAGUAUAAAAUUGAUGCAGAGAGUGGUGAUACGAACAAAGAGUGUGGAGUUUAUGCCCUUCUCUCUAUCAUUGUUUCUUACCCUCAGUGCCAUUACAUGGCUCUUCUACGGUCUUGCUAUUAAAGACUUCUACGUUGCGGUGAGUCUUUUUCUUAUGAUAUUAAAUCUUUUAUAAGCAUAAAAUAAUGGAGCGCAACGUAGUAUCAUGUAUAAUAUAUAUAUGAUUAUGGGUGGUUCAUGUUUAAGGGAAAAGAGAUUCCAUCACCUUUUGCUUUAUGAUUACAAUCAUAUAUUAUAUGAUUGCGUCAGGGAGACCUCGAGUACAAUUAUAUACAUAUUUUUCUUUUAUCUGUCGGAGACUAAUGGGAUGUGUACUGUUCCCAACAAAUGAUUAAUGGGAUUAGUGAUGUGAUUGUAUUUUUGAUUGAAGCUUCCAAAUAUAAUGGGUGCGUUUCUCGGAGCAGUUCAAAUGAUUCUUUACAUCAUAUACAAGUACUACAAAGCUCCAAAAACUAACGACACAGAGAAACCCAAAACGGUGUCGGGUCACUCAAUCGAUAUGGUCAAGCUUGCAUCAACUCCAGCUUCCGGUGAUUUGAAGGCUCCUCCUCAAACUCAUGGUGAUUUAGAGGGUCAGAUUGAAAAGGAAAUGGCAAACCAAAUCCAAACCUAAGUAGUUUUUGUGUUAGUGAUUUUAUCGGUCUUGUACUGUUGAGUCGUGUUUCACUAGCUUGUAUUUGGCGCCUUGUCUUUUUCCUCACCAUAUUAUUUCGAAAUUGUAUUAUCCAAUUCAAAAAGUAUGUUUUAGUUCUUUUAAAAUACUUCUGAUAUUCUCUACUCACAAAUACUUGAAUCCUUCUAGUGACAAAUGAAAAAAAGGAAAAUUAAAUUCUAAGUAAUUUAAGUACUAUUUUUUUCUUUUGAACUCUAGUAAUUUAAGUACUCGAUCAAUCGCAAGUGAAGUUUUUGAAAAAAAAAAUUCAUUUUGAUGUAUAGUUAAAAAAAAAAAAAUUGAUCUUAUUAGCUUUGUUACAAAAAAGAAAAAAAAAGAUUUUAUUAGCCAAAAAUAAAAGGAAGUUAUCGAAUAAGAAAAGAUUUUCGUUACAGCCCAAUCACUAUUUAACAACCCAAACCACAUACUUAUUCAGUGUACUGGUUUUCCUAGACGAAUAUCUACCGUAUCAAUCGUUACGAACCUUGUGCAAAGGAGCCCAGAUUUGACAUAAAUUGGUGUUACAUGUUUUGAUGUUUUCAAAAUUUUCCAAUGCAUCUGAAAUUUCAGAAUAUUUUAAUAGAUUUUGAGAGAAGAAGCAGACAGAAUAAGAAGAAUGACUUAAUCCAAUAACACCACCUCUAAUGUUGGUUUAGUUGUGGUAAAGUGAAGGGAAUACACUAAAAUCCAUCAUAAGUAAAAUCUAAUAAACUACAACCAGUUUUAAAUAACUAGUGAUUUUAUUGUAUUUCGAAGUUCGAAGAUGAAAUCAGAUGUGACAAGGGGGUGUCGUCGUUUCCUAAACGUUGCUCUCGAAGUGUCAAGAUAAAUGAUAAAUGCCAAUGGGAGAAGAAGCAGACAGAAUAAUAAGAAGAAAAAUGAUUUUUCUUAAUCCAAUGUUAUCCUUGUCCUAUCCUCUCUCUCUUUCCAUUUCUCAUUUAUUUUCUCUAGAAAACUAAGUUAAUUCGUAACUCUCCUAGAUAAUUAAAAAUGGCAUGUCGACCAAAAAAAAUCUAAGACCAUUUCUAAUAAUAUACAAUAACUUGUUUUCUAUAUUUCACAAUAAUCAGAGUAAAAAACAAUAUCACUUUAUUAUAAAGUAAUUAUAUUAUAUGAUAAACUAUUGAAGCAAAUUUAAUUUUAUAAUCUUAUAUUUUAUAGUGAACAAUAAAGAAAAUUAUUGUGUAACAUUGGAGAGCUAUAAACUGCAAUACCGGCAAAGCUGAAUCUAAAACGAAACAGUUAAAAUGGAGAUAGGUAAAGUAAAAUUCCCAACUCGAUUAAAACGUUUCACCGUUUCCACUUGAACUAAUAAAAAAAAGAAAAAAAGAAGAAGAAGAAGAUGAAAACGACGUCGGUUGAGAUGAGAAAGAAAAAGGAAAGUUGGGGAUGAGAAGUUCGUAAAAGGGAAGUUGGAUAUUUGGUGGACUCUUCAUCUUUCCUCUUCCUCACCUCAUCAAAAGAUCCGAACCCGAAACUCUCGAGAAACACAGAGAGAGGAAGAGCCUCCUACUGUUCUGUAAUUUGAUUCCUCCCGAUUCUCUUUUCAUAUUCCCCUUUUUGUGUGUUCCAAGCAACCUCUGAUUCUCACUUUUUCUCCUUUUUCGCUGCAGAUUCCAACUGUUUCAGAUCUGAACGAUUUUGUCUGAAAAGUCUGUUCCUUUGAGAAUCAGGAUAAGUAAUCGGAGCUGGGUUUAGCGUUUAAGGAAGUUUCAAAGUCAACGGAUAUGCCGGAGGAGGAGUCGGUAGAUAUCAAAUUCAGGCUCUACGAUGGCUCCGACAUCGGACCCUUCCACUACUCGUCUUCCUCGACCGUCGACUUUUUGAAGCAAAGGGUCGUCUCUGAUUGGCCCAAAGGUUAGUUCGGUUCAUCAAAGUUUCCAUUUUGCUAUUGAAAGUUAUGAUCUUUGAUGAUUUAGAACAAAAUUGAUUAUCCAGCUUGUUUGAAUGUUUUGUUUCUGUGUUUUUGGUUGUAGGCAAAACAGUUGUUCCGAAAGGGAUAAACGAAGUGAAGUUGAUUAGUUCGGGUAAGAUAUUGGAGAAUAGCAAGACUGUUGGUCAGUGUAAGACACCCUUUGGAGAGGUUGCUGGUGGAGUCACUGUGAUGCAUGUUGUUGUACAGCCUUCUCUUGCCAAAACUAAAACAGGUAAAGUGUUCUGUUUUUUUUUUUUUUUUUUUUUUUUUAUCUCUCUUGCUUGUCAGAAAAUGUUCUCUUCAGGGAGAGUCUAUGUUUGAUUUUGUCACAUGUAUUGAUUGUUAUAUUCGUUUUGUGGCUCAAUUUUACUUCUUGUAAUAUCAUUUGUAUCACUGGUGAGGUUGAUAACAAGUGUGUAUCCACUAGCACUUUGUUCAUCAGCAAGUUAGUUAGUGACUAGGGUGAUUAUAAAUAAUUAAAAUGCUUCCUAGUAUUUUUUUUUAUUUGUUUGGCUUGUGAGAGUAAGAUCACUAUAUGCAUGAGCAAGUUAGUCAUUGACUAGGAUCCCUAAGUUUCUGGUUUGUUGUUUUUGUUAUUGUUCAAAACAAGGCAAAGUCAAGCUCUAGACUUUUAAAAGAGGCAUGUCAUAUGGGAAAAAUAGUCUGCCUUUUGUGCCGGUCAUCGUUAUAAGCAACUAGUAUGAUGUUUGUUUAUUCAAACCUUCUAGAGAAUUGGCUCACAAUGUUUUGCCAAUUAUAAAACAUUUGCAUCAUGAUUUACAAAAAAACUUGAUCAAAUGACUGAAGCUGAGAGUCUUUGCGUUGUAACUAACACUUGAAUGCCGGUUUUGAUUGAACAGAGAAAAAAGUCGAUAAAGCACCCAAGGCGGUUAUAUGCACAUGCACCAUUUUGUGAAAGGAGCAAGACAUGUAUCAUACAUACCAAUCUCAAUUCUUCAAGUACAGAAGAAAACAAAAAGUUAAGUAAAGUAAAAGUAAAGCUUCCCCUUUAAGCUGUGGAGUAUCAUCAUCAUAACCUCGAAAUCAAAGCUUUGAACGUGUAGAAAAUGAUUUAGAUUCUUUUGAAUUACCCAUCAUCUGUUGUUGUCCCUUGUUUGUUUUUGUCCACACUAUCUGGUAUACUUCAUUCGUGUCUGUACUGUAAUAAACGGAAGUUGUAUAGGUUACUUUAGCUCGAAAAUGAUUGUGUGAUGAAGAUGAUUAUGUAUCUAUGAAAGAAAAGAAGAAGUGUCUUUAUUCCUUUUCAUCAUUUCCUUCCACAUCAUUAUAAAAUACAGAUUCCCUCUUCUAGUGUUCUUAGGGGAUCAAUCAACCAUCCUUAGGAUUUUGACGUUCUCCAAGCUCUACUAAUAUGUAUUCUUGUAUCAUCACUGUUGCUCAAAACUUUCACAUCCCACAAAGAAAAGAAAGGAUGUAUGGUAUGAAUUGAAUAUGAUUAAUCUUCUGUAUCUGAAAGGCUCUGUAUUUUUCCGUAUCGGCGACGGUCUCUACACUCUUUUUAGAUCCUAGCAUCGUCGUUAUCAAUAUCAACGGAAGGUUGAAGAACAACCCUAACGACUUUAGUUGACGUGGCUCACAAGAAACAACCGAAAGAGAUGUGAAUUUCCACCGCUAGAAAAUUCUGAUGUGGUUCCUAUGUGUUGGUCAACCGUUAGGGAUUUUAGAAAACCAAGUCUUGUUUCUCUAUUUCUGUCACUGAAAAUCUUGAGUUUAGGUUGGAACAAUAAUGUAUAGCCAUAUUGAUUUUCUUGUUGAUUAUAACGAAUAAUUUUUCAAUAGAAUAAAGGCAUUCGCAUCAAAUGAGUAACUCAACUAGUAUAAUAGUAAUCAUGUGAUGUAAUCACUACGUAUGAUGAAACCAUAGAAAGUCGCUUAAAUAUGUAGAAUAGCGUUACAAUACCAUUAAACCAAAAAAAAAGAAAGAUAAUAUUAUUGAAGUGUCGCAUUGACAAUCUGGUUAUUCUAUAUAAGAUACUAAUCUGAAAAGAAAAAAAAAAAACUUAUCCAAAAUAAAGAAACCAAACAUAAAAAAAUAGGUGUAGUAGAAAUCACGGACUACAAUCGGGCCGAACUCGUACUUGGUCUGGGUCGGCGGUAUAGCAAUGCCAUAUACAAACCGUGACGAUUAUGAUAGCCCCAGCGAUGGUGCCUGCGAUGAGGCCUGCGAUGACUGCGAAGGUAUCAGGCUCCAUACUGCACGUGUCUUACCCUGCACACACACACUGACACACACCAAUUCUUUGUAACACUAAUCUUGUAUCUCUUCUUUUUUUUCUUGGGUGCAAACUAUAUAUAUAUAUAUAUAUACCUUGGCAUAUAUAAUAUACAUGUAUCGUUUAGGUAAUUUCUGAAAAUGAAUCGGUGAAAUAUAUAAGUUUUACAUUUUGUCAUUAAUUAAGGAACAUUGGUUGCACAAAAAAGGAACAUUAGCUAUUGGAAAUUUAUAGAUUUUGUAAUUAAGGAGCACAUGUGGCUGAUAUAGUAGCUGGAAAAAUUACAUAAUAUGUUGAUCGUUAUAGCAUCACAUAUGUAUAUGAAUAUAUGGUAUGCAUAGUUUAAGCCACUUUCAAUAUAUUUUCUUAACAUUUUGUUUAAAACAUUCUAAAUUUUUAACAUUUUAAGGUGUGGUGCGUUUAAGGAGUGAGAAGAUGUGUAAUAAGUCAUAAAAUAUGAAAGUGAGAUGCUUAUUAAUAGAACUUUUUCUCACAUACGUACUUUACAAUUUGAUCCCUCAGUAGACAAGUUAGAUAUAUCAGACGUAAGUGUACACAAUCUAAGGCGAGUCGAAGUUAAAGGUGGUCUCAAGGUAGAUCCAAUCUUGUCAGCAAGUAACUUUGCAAACCCCCAGUAAUAAUUAGAAGUUCAAGCAAAAUUGUUCAAGAUGAUGAAUAAAGGGCGAGAUAUUUGGAUUCAAGCAAACUCUUAAAUCUACAAAUUUAAUAACAAUCAGAUUUCUCUAAAACUGAAACCCUUGAGACUUGAGAGGGUUUAAUUCAUCCUCUGAGCAGCCUCCUUGGCGAGCAGCCUCUCCUUAGCCUUAGUCUUGGCCUGAGAUUUGGAUCCCAUAAUUCCACAUCCCCGCUUCUUCCGGUACUCGUCAUACUUGUUAUUGAAGUUAGCCUAUAUCCAACGAUGGAUACUGUUGAGAAUUCAUUUUACUGAAACAACCAAAAGAAAGGUGAAUUUCCACCGCUAGAAAAUUCUGAUGUGGUUCGAAAUCGCCGUAGAUCAAUCUAACUACAGCGGGGUAUUUUUUGUUGGCAUGCAGUGACAAGAAGAGAAAACAAAAUCUUAUACUUGUUGUGCUAUGGGCUUUUAGGGUUUGUGUCUUGGUCAACCGCGUUAAUUAGGGUUUUUAGAAAACCAAGAGUACAUUUUUUUUUUUUUUGGUCAAAACCAAGAGUACAUUUUAAAAUCAAAAUUUACUGAGUUAAGUCUGCGGUAGAGAUCAACUCAAACACAAGUCUUGUUUCUCUUUUUCUGUCCCUUAUAGACUGGAAAUCUUCGAAUUGAGGUUGAAACAAUGAAUCGACAUAUUUUGAGUUUUUGUUGAUCAAAACGAUUAUUUCCGUAAAAUAACGUCCAUUCACAUCAAAUAUGUAACUGACAAAGCAUACUAGUAAUCAUGUAAUGUAAACACUGCAACGUAUGAUAAAAUUAUUAUAAGAAAAUCAAUUAAAUAUGUAGAAUAGAGUUACAAUUCCAUUAAACCAACAUAAAUGAUAAAUAUUAUUGCAGUGUCGCAUUGACAAUCUGCUUAUAGGUUACUAAUCUGAAAAAAAAACUUAUCCAAAACCAAUAAACCAAACAUAAAAUAAGCAAUAUAGUACAUGCAUGAUAUUAGAAAUCAAGCACUAUUAUCGGGCUGAAUCUGUGCUUGGCGUAUGAUAACGAUUUUGUAAAGCCAUACACAAAGCGCGAUGAUUGCGCACGCCACAAGGAUGGCGGCUGCGCUGAGGCCCAUGACUGUGAACAUAUUAAUCUCCAUACUGUGUCUCAAACCUGCACACACACACACAAACACCAAAGUUUAUUCUUAGUAACUAUAUUCUUCUUUUUCUUGGGUGCAAACUAUAUAUAUACCUUGACAUGUAUAAUAUACACGUAUCUUUUAGGUAAUUUCUGAAAAUGAGUCGGUGGAAUAUUGAAGUUUUACAUUUUAUCAUUAAUGAAUAUUAGCUUAGAGAAAAUUGGAAAGUAUUAGAUUUAGUCAUUAAGGAGCAAAUGUGACUGAUAUUAGUAGCUGGAAAGUGUAAAAAGAAAAUGGAUUUUUUUUUUACAUUUUAUGUUGAUUGUCAUACCAUAAAAUGUACAUACGAUAUGCACGUAGUAAUUUAAGCCUACUUUCAAUAUAUUUUUCUUAACAUUUUCCUUAAAAACAUUCUAUAAUUUUGAUAUUUUCAUUAUGUGUGCCUAAGAAAAGGAGUGAGAAGCUGUGUAGUAAAGCAUAGAAUGUGAGAAGUAUAUGUGCUUAAUUAUAGCUAAGUUCUUUAUGUAAUGUACAAUUAGACCCCUCAAUAUACAAGUCAGACACAAAUGUACACAAAGAUGGUCUCAAGCUAGAUUCAAUCUUGUAAACAAGUAACUUUGUAAAGCCUCAGUCAAGAUAAGCGAAUUAAGCAACAAUGUUAUCGAGAUGCUUGGAUUCAAACUCUUAAUGUGUAAAUUUAAUAAAAAUAAGUUUUCUCCAAAACUGUAACCCUUGAGAAGGGCUAAUUCAUCCUCUGAGAAGCCUCCUUUUCUAGAACCCUCUCCAUAGUCUAGGCCUGAGACUUGGAUCCCAUGAUUCCACCUCCCCACUUCUUCCGGUACUCGUCAAACUUGUCGUUGAAGUUGGCCUAUAUCCAAGUCCAACGAUGGAAACACCGUUAAUAAUUCAUGUUACAGAAAGUAAACUCGCAUAGCUAUUUAGAUCCUCUACUGCAUCACCGUUAUCAAUAUCAACAGACGGCUAAAGAACAAACCUAAUGACUUUAGUUGACGUGGGUCACAAGAAACAACCGAAAGAGAGGUGAGAAAAUCCUGAUGUGGUUUGAAAUCGCCGUAGAUCGAUCUAACUACAGCGGAAUGUUUUUUUUUUCUUUCGCAGUGGCAAGAAGAGAAAACAAUAUCUUAAAACUUCUUGUGCUACAGGGCUUUUAGGAUUUGUGGUCUUGGUCAACGGCAUUAGGGUUUUUAGAAAACUAAGAGUAUAUUUUAAAAUCAAACUUUCUGAGUAAAGUGUGCGGUAUAUAUCAACUCAAACUCAAGUCUUGUUUCUCUUUUUCUGUCGUUUAUAGACUGAACAUCUUGAGUUUAGGCUGGAACAAUGAAUCGACAUAUUGAUUUCUUUUGUUGAUCAAAACGAUUAUUCCCUUCACAUCAAAUAUGUAACUCAAAAAGUAUAUAUACUAGUAAUCAUGUAAUGUAAACACUGCAAUGUAUGAUAAAACCAUUGAAAGAAUCAAAUCUAUUAUAUAAUAGGAGAGUUUCUCUCCUCCUGAUGCGACACGUCAGCGGUCUGUGGGUCCCACUUUUUAAAAGUGUGAAAAAAUGUCAAAUAUGUGGUUCGAACCCGGGUUAUUAAGAUAUAAGCACCCACAACUAUACCAUUGCACUAAAGGAUACUUUGUACAUUGAUGGUCGAAACUAAUAUAUAUUAUAAAGGUCGGAAACUAAUAUUACAUUGUUGACCCCACUUCUUUUUUUUUCCUAAUUGAUGGGUAACAAAUGUACUUCGACAAAAAGUGGGCUUUGGGCUUAUUAAUUUUCUGUUUAUUAGGCUUUGUAUCUGCUCAAAGUGGUGAUACGGACAAAGCUAAGAAGAUUAGGGAAGCCGCCAUCUUCACCAUCUCCUUCGUCGCUUGCGAUUUCCCUUCCGGCAAUCAGCAAUUAUGGUCGAUCUUUAAGGCUCUACGCACGUUUUGCGCCUACCAAACGCUUAGUUUCUCCUCUAACGCCUUCAGAGCUCUUAUAUAUAUAGAAUCCCUCGAGGUAAAAGCUCCAUCUUGUCUCGAACUUUUCUUUCUCAGUUUUUCGAUCGCUUUACUUUCUCACAUCUGUCACGAAAAUGACUUAUCCAGCUGCUACAGCCGCUUCAGCCGCCGUUACCUACUCUACCUUCAACUCUCUCCGCUUUGGAAGGUCCACUCAGUCCAUUGUUGGUCGGCUCAUCCGAUUCUAGGAUUCCAGAAACAUUAACAAGAAUGGAGAGUUUAUGGGCAUCACCAUUCUCCUCCUUGAUGAACUGGUGAUGAUUGUUUCUAACUUAUUUUUUUAUCACUUUAACUCUGCUUUGCUUAUUCUUUGUUCAUAUAUGAAACGUGUCUUUAUCUUUUUGUUUUGGUUUUGUCUAUGGGUUUUUUUAUGAGCAACUAAUGAUUUUUCUCUGUUUUUCUUACAGGAUUCUGUGAUCUACGGUUUCAUCCCUGCAAUCUCCAAACAAAACAUGAAAACUGAAUGAAUUAUGUUUUUAGCAACCGAAUCUAAAAGAAAUAAAAGACAUCUCACUUAACAAAUUAAAACCUUUUCUUUUGCAGAUUCCGACGACAACGAAGCACCCGAGGACCAACGACAAUGGAAUUAUGCGGAAGAAGCCUAACUGAUGUAAGUAAACUCCUCUUCAAUAACGCAUUACACUAUUAUCGCUCCCCAAUCUCACAAACUUAAUCUCUAAUCAUACCAGAGAUCCCACAGGUGAUGCUGUCCCGACGAAGGAGAAAAAAAAAAAAGAUAACCUAACGUUUUUUUUCCCAGUUUUUAAGUUCAAAUCAUGUUUUAGACAUAGAGCCCAACAUAAUUUGAGCCCAAACAUUUUAAACCCACAAUUACUUUUUCAUAAUGAAAAAACGUCAACCUUCGUUUAUGUUUUGUUAAACUACUUUAAUCUUUAUGAUUUGUUAAACUAUUUCACACAGGGGGCAGAUCUUCUUAGAAGGGGAGCCACUCGCCACGAUGCUUCCAGUUUCACCACUUUUGAAACUCUUAUGAACCACAAAGCCAAUAUAAGAGCUCUGUUUCAAUCCAACGGCUGGAUUUUGUCACAGACCACCGCUAAGCCUGAAGAGGGAAGAGAAGUGGAGUGCUGCGUUUUGGAAGAUGGUUACUUGGAGUUUACAAGAUGAAGAUGGAACCCGUGACGAGGAAGACGAGGAGAAGUGUUACUUGGAAUAUCCUAACGUUGAGGAUGUAGACAAUGUGUGAUCUUAGCGAUGAAGAUUAGUGUAGCUUUAAUAUAUGCUACUACGGUCCUUGAGCUCCCUAACAAGUACUAGCAAACAAUGUGUAUUUUGAAAAAAUAAAAUAAUUUUGUAAUGCAAGUAGUUUGAAACUUUGAGUAUUUAUUCAAACAACGGGUAUAUACAGAGUUGAUAACUUGAUAUGGACCCCCAAAUAAGUUGGUGUUGCGCUGUCACAAUAUCGUCUUUUUAAUUUCAUAUACCUGACGUAAGCUUCUUCAUCUUCUCUAUUUCUCUUUCCGUUGUUCCACGCUCUUUGUUUCAUGUUUAGGCAUUUUUUAUAUUCUCUAUAUUUUAUCUUAAUUAUACUUUUUGAAUUUUCCUUCCGUUUUGGGAGAUGUCUCUAACUUGAGUUAAUCGUCAAAAGCUAGGAUAAAUUUUGUUGUCUUAUUUCCGAUAAAUUUUAUUCUUUAAUUUGCACAAAUCUUAAACAACACCAACAUCCCGUAAAUCAUACCGCCCCACCGAUAUCCAAAGUAACCAGCCCCGCGCUUGCGCGGGGUCUCAGAACCUAGUAAAUAAAUAUAAUAGAGUUACAACACCAUUAAACCAACAUAAGUGAUGAAUAUUAUUGCAUGCCGUGUCGCAUUGACAAUCUGCUUAUUCUAUAUAGGUUAAUAAUCUAAAAAAAAAACAAACAUAAAAUAAGCAAAAUAGUACAUGCAUGAUGUUAGAAAUCAUCAAGGCCAUUAUCGGGCUGAAUCCGUGCUUGUGGGUUGGCGUUAUAGCAAAGCCAUACACAAAAACCGCUGAUAAUGAUCGACCCAACGAUGGCGGCUGCCAGGCCUAAGGCUACGAAGAUAGUCCCCAUAGGCAUAGCCAUACUGUGUCUCAACCUGGCACACAAACACACACCAAAGUUUAUUCUUUGUAAAAUUGUAACUAUCUUCUUCUUUUUCUUGGGUGCAAACUAUAUAUAUACCUUGACAUGUAUACUAUACAUGUUUUACCCAAAAAAAAAUAAUGUAUACUGUACAUGUAUAGUUUAGGUGAUUUUUGUAAAUGAAUCGGUGGAAUAUUGAAGUUUUACAUUUUGUCAUUUAGGAAUAUUAGCUAGAGAAAUUUGGAAAUUUUUUGAUUUAGUCAUUGAGCCGGGCCCUAUAGCAUUAGCAGCAUAACCCGUUGCUUAGAGCAUCAUUAUCCCAACAAUCAUUAAAGUUGCUUAAAUUUUUUCUUUUUCAUUUUUUUUGUCAAAAUAAAAAAUUAAAAAGUACACAAUUCGCGGGUCACCACGUGUUGGUGGAGUCCGCAAACAGAAAAUGAGGUGUUAUUUUGGGUACUGAAGGGAUGUUGCUUGUGUUUCUGGUGGGACAACAACAUAGUUUUCUAAUCCAUUACAAGUGUAGAGUGUUUUCUUUGUAUAUAGGAGACAGUACAUAAUAGGAGACUUUUUUUAAAAAAAGAGUUGAGAGAGAGAUUUCAAAGAUUGAAGGAUUGAGAAUAUAAAAUUUUACAGUGAUAAGGAUACUGAUCUAGAGGACGAUCGAUCCUUGUGACGGCUUCGGACCACUCAACAGUCCCCCAAAUCUCGCCAGUUCCCUUGUGCCUUUGUAAAGAGAUCUCUGCACACCUAAUCUCCCAUUUCCAGUCAGCAAGACAGUCCCAGAAGAGUAACAUGUUGGGACCAGAGUUGCUCAGUUUGUGACCGGGAAGCAUAUCGUCGAGGUAUUCCGAUGGCGUAAAACCCCGACUAUAGUUGACCACUCUGGAGGCACAAAGGGCGACCCUAAGAUCCUCCAAGCCCAUAACUUGUCUCCAGUUCAUCUCACCCCCCGCGGACUCCUCCAAUUCACUUGCCUCACACCACAAUAUCCACCCACCGGCUACACAAGAGUAGAUGACAUUGUCUAUCACAUGCCAACCCUUUCUAAGUUUGUUGGUAUCCGAGUUUCCUGUUUUCCAUAUGCGUUGGCUCGGAGUGUAAAGCCAAACAUUACCUUUCUCAUUCAAACCGAAAAUCUUCUUCGUCUUCUCCACCUCUAUCACCCCGCUUUCGGGCAUUAAGGAGGGAGAGUACAGAUCAUCUGGCUGCGUCUGCGGCUGCGGUUGCGGCUGUGUUGAAAGGGUACUCCAUGUCUGCCUCUUUGGAUCGAAAACCUCUACUACCCAUUUGCGGGGAUUUGGUUCCUUGACACCUCCAACAACGUAUAUCUUCCCGUCCACCACGCCCACCGCAGCGCAAGCUCGAGCUAACAUCAUGGAAGGGAGAUUGGUCCACGUAUGAGAUCGGCAAUCCAGGAAAAAGACCUGGACGACCGCUUCCCGCCAAUCAUCCCACCAAUCACAUAUAUACCCCAACCAUGGGCCACCACGGAAGAUGCUGCAGGAGGCUGAUACAAGUGUGGCCGGAUCGGUACCAGCCGACUAGGAUGAUUUACGGCUGCUGCUUUUGGGUAGAAGGCGUACAAACGGGUCUGAAGCGUUUCUUAAACAUAAAUAGAUGCAGUGUUCGGUGCGACCCAUUAGAGAUCGGGCUUGGUAUAACUCCGGGGAAAGCAUUAGAGAGCGGUGCAGCUUGGAGACCAGGUAUAAGGAUCCGUGGUCCAAUCUUGGGACAAAGGCCAAGCAAUUCAUUACGAUUUCAUCUGGCAAUAUAGAUAACUUACAGGCCUGCUGAGGACAAUACUUCUUCUUCUUCUGUUUCUUCCCGCAAUUCCUCCUCGUCGUGCUUUGUUUUGCUUUGUAUCUACCCUCUGUCCCAUAAACUGACAUCAUGUUUUUUUUUUCUUUUCCAAGAGAAAGUAGUUGUUCCAACUUGUAUAUAAAGGGUACUCUGGAUCCGAAUAAGGAACAAAACUAUAAUAUAUACUUUUUUAUGUUUCUUUCCUUUUUUUUUCUCAAUAAGAUUUAACCCUAUCAAUAAGGUUUUUUUUUCAAGGAGAAAGCGGAGAUGGGCAAAAAGGCAAGCAUGAAUGUUUAAGAUAGCUUGAUUCCAAGAGAUGUGAAUCAGUGAUUUACUUGUCCUUUGGGACCAUGUCAAGCUUUGACAACGAGCAGCUGGGCUUGGAUAUAUCAGGACAUGAUUCUGUAUGGGUGGUUAACAGAAGGUACGUAUCAUUUCUCAGUUGCAAUAUCAAGUGGACUUUCUGAUCUUUUUGAAUACCACAGCCAAAGCUUCUCGGGGUUCAAAUCCUGUAGCUUUCGUCAAUCCUAAAGCACAUGUCUACCCACGUCUUGCAUUAGGGACGAAGUAAGGUUCUCUUAGAGCAUGUGCAUCAGUGAACCCCAUGAAAGGGGUUCACAAAGUAUUUUUUUAUUAUUUUUUUUACUGUUUGAUUUUUGUUUUAAAAAAAAAAAAAAAUUAAUUAAUCGGACCAAUCGCGGGCCGCCACGUGUCGUGGGGCCCGCGCUACAGUGAUGAACCAGGUUCACUGGAAAGAGCUUAGGAGAGCCAGGUUCAUUACUAUUCAUUAUUAUAAUAUUUUUUUUUUUUUGGAAUCUGUGUGAACGCCCGUAAGUUUACUAAUGGGGGUGCUCUUAGAACUUGAGAAAAAAAAAAAAUAUAUAUAUAUCUUACUAAACAUGUUUGUUUUGAGCAUUUGAUAGAUGACAUCAACAUGGACGAGUGGGUACAACAUAAACAAGCCUGUUGUGCAAAGUGACUUUCAAGUAGAAAGAUCACCAGCUGAAAUCGUUACCUUCAACAGAAACAAUAGGUCCUGUUUUUGUUAUUUUCUUUCUUUAUCCUUCAGUGUGACACGCAAGGCAGCAAUCCUUGGCCUCUUCAUCUGGAUGCAUCAUGCAUUGGGAUAAGUUACUUUUUGUUUCACUUUCAGUCACAACCAAGAGCGUGAUUGGCCAGACACAUGAUCUUUCUAUGGCCGUAAAGACUCUGGAGGAUCAUUACUGUAUCUCUGUCUUGUCAAUGUUCCUUGUCUCUAAAUUUUUCUCUACCUUUUUUUAUUGCAGACCACAGUGUGAACAGUGACAAGGAUCACUAUUCAGGGACCUUCAAAGAAACCGUUCACGUUGUUGCAGGAAGUCGCUUGUCUCUUUUUAGCAAACUGACUCCCCAAAUGGAGCUUAGUCAGAGACUAUGACUAUUGGUUUGUGAAGUUGACUGCUUCACAUCACUCAUCGCUUCUCUUUGAGUGCUAGAGGAGCAGCAACGGCCAAGUGCAUGACUCCUUCAACGUCUCUAGAGAUGUUUUGGCUUGCACUCAUGAUAAUUGAUAGCUGCGUCCCCACCACAUCAGCUUCAUGAUCUUUCUUUCUUAAGACUAGUAGCUUUUUGAGGUUUUUUAAACAUGUUUUAAUUACAGAGUGUUCUUGGACAAGAUUAAUUUGUUUAUUUAUUUAACUGCAGAGAUCAUUUCUGUACUAGUAAUUUGCCUCUCUAUGUCUGCACAAACACAACAAAGUGACCAAACAUUCAGUCAGAUAUCUCUACUUCAGGGGACUUGUCUUAUUGGUUCUCAUGUGAAAUCAUUGAUGCGAGAUCUUCAACUUUCAGUGGAAAAUGUAUGGCCAUAUAUUGAAACAUGAUCUGCUGUAUGGAUCAUAAGUGCUCAGUGAAGUUCUUGAUUGUGGUGAGGAUCAGCAUGUUACAAGGUGAAGAUAAGUUAAAGGAAGUCCUACCUUUACUUACCAACACAACCAUUGAAAUCAGUAUUGAUAGAUUUGUUGAUGUAAAGCCCUGAAGAACAUUAGGUCCAUUGUCUAAUCUAUGCACUUCAAAAUUUGUUUGACCGCCUUAAUGGUCACCUAAAAGAACACUUUAACUAUAAUUAGUUUAAAGCUAAAUAGGUUACUGUUAUGUACUCCAAGUAUGAUACAUAGUAAAUGCCUUUGUAGCUACUUGGUUGAUGGAUUAUGAAGAGUUGGUUUAUUUGCACCUUGUCUAUUAUUAGGUUUUUUUGGAGGGAGAUAUACACAUUACUUGACUCAUGAAACAAAGGAGUAGUUACCUGUUUACACUGUCAUUAAAAUUACUAAGUGAUAUUAACAACUAACUGAUGAAGUUGUUACCAAUUUACAUACUUCUCUUAAUCAGUCUACAUACUUCUCUUAAACAGUCUCCUUAGCAUUAUAAAAGUCAUCAAAUGUAGUAUGCACUACAUUGCAAGUUCACCAUAACGUGUGUAACGCUAAACAUAUCAAGAAACAAGGUACUUGUUAAAAAAACAGAUGUAAAAUAUCAGAUAUUUUAUCCUAUAUUAUAGAAAAUGGAACUGAAAAAGAUCACACUAGAAAUUUAUAAAAUAAUCUAACUUCAGGUAUUGUUUAAAAGGCAAUUUCAUCAAAUUGACUCUAUUCAAAAAUACUAACCAAUUUUAUCAUGAACAACUAAUAAUCAUUGAUUUUAGUUAAUCAUUCAUUACAAAUUCAUAAUUUUCUUUGUACUUUUAGUUUCUACAUAUAUAAUAAAUAAUUAAAGAAAAUGGUAAAAUAACAUUAGAGAUAAACAUGAGAAAUCAACUGCACAGGAAAAGUGCAAUGAACAAAAAAAAACAAUUAAGACAAAAUUUUACAUAUCCUUACUCUAUCUAGUUAGACAUCUUCACAAGUUCUUUGUGUCUCAAAAGCAAAACACUUUCUUAUUCCAAGAAGAAUAAUCUUCUUUGCAUAGUUGAGUACCAUACAUUCCAAAUCAAAAUAGUUGAGUACACUCUUGAGCAUUUUCACCAUAGUGUUCCAAUUUUUUGUUUUCAACAAAGAUAGAUCAUCUAUCACUCAUUUAUUGGAUUAAUGUGACAGUAGUAGUUGGGUCAUCCGCCAUUUAUGAUUGGGUAAGAAGAUGAAGAUUCGUUUAUGUUUUGAAAAACAAAAUAAACUCCUAAUGCUCUUAGCAUUGGCAGUCUGGUCCAUUUUGAGCAAAACACCACUAUUUAUAACAUGUCUCACAGUGCUUGAGAGCUUCACAAUGCAUGUUUGAAUGCUCAAGGCACAAUGCCAUGGCAAAGUUUUUGUAGAGUAAAAGAAACAACAACAACAAAAUAAAAAUAAAUAGAUUUGACAAAAGCGGAAAGAGAAACAUUUUCACCUGAUACUUAGUGUAGGCUGAGCGAUUCAGUAGGCAUGUUAAUGGACUAGUUUCGACCAUUGACAAUGUUACCCUGUAGAUUUCUAAAUCAGAUUAUACUUCACCUACUCAACAUAAAAGCAAGUUACGAGAUAGAAUUCAUCUAAGUAGAUACAAGAUAAUAAAUACAAUGUUCCUUUUAUUUACCAAACACACAUUCUCCAAGAUCAAAGAUUAUUUUAACGAAUGACUCAAAAUUAACCACACUCCUUCUCAAUGACUUUGUCUUGUUGAGUAGCAUAAGAGCCUCAUUAAACAACAAGUCGAUAGUAUCCUUUUCACUUUCAAGGGAAACACUUGGCGAUCAAACACGAUACCAGCUUCAAGUUUACAUUGAAACUCUCAUGUGCACCAUUGCCAAAGUGGUAUACACUGGUACAAACAACAUCAUCAUCAGUCCUAUAAAAAACCUUUUAAACCCUAAACAUCUAAACCUUUCAAUAUACCUAAACAUCUAAACCUUUCAUACUUCUUGACUUCUAGGAACUCUGAACCUCUAUCAGUCAAGUUUUGAAUCAAUUCCUCCAUUGAAGUUGCAUCUGCAGCCAUCUUUCCUUCGCGGAAGAAGAAGGAAGAGAUGAGAUAGCAACUGGAGAGAGAUAACGACACUAGAAAAGAUCACAAGAAAAGAUUGAAGAUUCGUUCUUUCUUCUUUUACUCUGUUUCUAAAUCAAUUGCAACAAAUAAACCCUUUUAUAGUGAUUAAAUUAUCCGAGAACACGCGGGACUAAAGUUUAUUUAUUUUUAUUUUUUUAACGAAGUGUUAGAUUUUUAUUUUCAGAUUUAUUGAUUUUCGGUAUUAAAUCAUAUUGGUCUGGAUGGGUUGAUUUAGUGGUUUUAUUCUUAUUUUUAUUUUAUUUUCUUUAAUUUCAUUUUAAGCUGUAAAAAAAUCAAGAUUAUUUUAAUAUGAAGAUUUUUUAUGAAAAUUUUUUUAUUAAUAUUUAGUUAGUUGCUUUAAAAGUUUUUUUUUUUAAUAUAUAGAAAAUGAAAAUAAUAAAUAAAUUCAUGGGACCUUCUUAAUAACCGGUCCGUCCGGUUCGCUCUUCCUCUUUACUCAAGAAAACAUAUUUCAAUUUUACUACUAUUCAUCUCCUCUCUUUCUCAGAUCCGUCUCAAAUUUUUUCUCUUGAAUUGAGUGUGUAGCAGCAAGCAGCCAUGGACGGUGGAGCAGAAGGAACUCAGCAGCCUCACCUGAUUCUAGCUCACAAGCUCUUCCUCCUCACUCACCCCGAUGUCCAGGACAUUGAGAAAGUCCAGCUCAAGUCUGAUGUCUUGGAUUCCAUCAAAUCCGAUGGUAAAGUAGCUUCCUUUCUCUAAUCUCUGAACACAAGUUUGAAACUUUCUAUGUGGGUUUUCGUUUUCUGAUGUUGGGUUUGGUGUUCUUUUAUAAGGUAUGGCUCCUUUGUACGAAACCCUAGCGGCGUCUUCUGUGCUGGAAUUGGAUCAGAGCCUGUUGGAUUCUAUGCGGGCUAGUAACGAGGAAGAGCUUAAAAAGCUCGACGAGAAGUAAGCUAAGCUUCCUUCUUCCUCUUGCUUCUAUAUCUAAGUUUCUGCUUGUUUCCAAUUAGACCAUUCUGGAGAGUUUUGUUGCGUCUUCAGCUUCCUAGAUUCUGACUAGCUUUCCACUGCUGAUGCAAAAGAUUACAAAGCGUAUGGAUACUACAAGUCCUGUCUCUCGUAUUAUGAUAAGUUGGUGUCUUGAAUUGGAUGUUAUAGAGUUAUGUGCAGUUUUAGAAUACGAGGCGCAUUGGUUGGAGUUAGGUCUUGGAUUGGAUGUUACCGUGUGUAGGUGAUGUAAUGAUUUUGAGGGACUGUGUUUAAGAUUUGAUGGAGCUCUUCUAUCAUAGAUAGCAUCGUGUCUUAUAAUCAAUGUUGAUGUUCACUUACUUUGUUCCUUCGGUUGUCUGCUUUGAAUAGGAUUGCAGACGCAGAAGAAAAUUUGGGAGAAAGUGAAGUCCGUGAAGCUCAUCUUGCUAAAGCUCUGUAUUUCAUCAGGAUCAGUGAUAAGGUACUUGAGUUAUUCAUUCCGCACUUCAAAGGACUUCCGUGGCCAAUAAAGUUUUUGCUUUGUGAAUCCAGGAGAAAGCGUUGGAGCAACUCAAACUCACUGAAGGAAAAACUGUUGCCGUUGGGCAAAAGAUGGACCUUGUGUUCUACACAUUGCAGCUUGCGUUUUUCUACAUGGACUUCGAUUUGGUUUCAAAAAGCAUUGACAAAGCCAAAAAGUAAAUGUUGCUUAGGCUCUUUGGCUACUACCCUUAAUGUAAAGGGAAACUGAAACCGUUGGUCUGUUCUCCCGUGACAGGUUGUUUGAAGAGGGCGGUGACUGGGAGAGGAAGAACAGACUAAAGGUCUAUGAAGGCUUGUACUGCAUGUCCACCAGAAAUUUUAAGAAGGCUGCCAGCUUGUUUCUGGAUUCUAUAUCAACCUUCACGACUUAUGAGAUCUUUCCCUACGAGACCUUCAUUUUCUACACCGUCCUGACCAGCAUCAUAACUCUGGACAGAGUUUCUCUUAAGCAAAAGGUAUUUUUAUCCAUGUCUUAGUUCCUCUGUGAAUCUCUUUGAGUAAAAUGCUAAAUUGCUACUAAUUUGGGACAGGUUGUUGAUGCACCUGAGAUCUUGACCGUCCUUGGGAAGAUACCGUUCCUUUCUGAGUUCUUGAACUCCCUGUACGAGUGCCAGUACAAGGCGUUUUUCUCAGCAUUUGGUUAGUACAAUACAGUGACUAGAUUAGCUUACUCCUUUUUCUCUGGGUGAUAAUUAAUAGCUCCACUGUUGGUGUAUUUUUCUCAGCUGGAAUGGCAGAGCAGAUAAAGUUUGACCGGUACUUGAACCCACACUUCCGGUUCUACAUGAGGGAAGUGAGAACAGUGGUGUACUCUCAGUUUCUGGAAUCUUACAAGAGCGUGACGGUUGAUGCCAUGGCAAAUGCCUUUGGUGUUUCAGUGGACUUCAUUGAUCAGUAAGCAACACUAACAAACGCUCAAUUACAGAGCUCUUUUUUUUUAGAACUGACAUGAAAUAAUGUUUUUUUUUUUAAUACAGGGAGCUGUCACGCUUCAUUGCUGCUGGGAAGCUUCAUUGCAAGAUAGACAAAGUUGCAGGUGUUUUGGAGACUAACCGUCCAGAUGCAAAGAAUGCACUUUACCAGGCAACAAUCAAGCAAGGAGAUUUCUUGCUAAACAGGAUCCAGAAGCUCUCUCGAGUCAUCGAUCUGUGAGCGAGCAUGUCACCCACAUGUUUCUUUUCCUUGUAUUUUCCUUCAAAAUUGCAACUUGGAAACUCUUUACGGUUAGAGAUAGUUUUUAUCUUUUAGCUGUUUCUUCACUUGUAUCGCAAUACAAAUAUGUUAAAAUCAUUUUUCACAAAGAACUGAACAAGAUCGUAGUCAAAUCAAAUUUUGGUAUCAUCACAUUAGUUAGUUGCAGAUAUCAACUGUGUCUGAUUCCUUUUCUUUCAUACUAAUAUAAAGACUAUUUUUUUUUUAAUGCGCUUAACGCUCCAAGAAUGAGCCAAGCGGUGUUCUGCCACACACACACACACAAGUCUUUGCCUUUAUCCUCUUUUUAUUAUCUCUUUUUCUUCUAUUUUUGAGACUACCUGUGCCUGUGCGAGAAAAUGCAUGCGAUAGAUUUCAAAGAGAUUCAAGAAAAGCUCUCUGAUGGUUUCCGGCCAUGGCAAAGGUCAUUUCAGUUCUGGGCUCGUGCUUCCGAUAUCUACACUGGAUAUAAGGUUUACUUUCUCCUUCUUCUUCUUCCUUCACAGUUUUUACUUUGUUGCAUGCAAGUUGUAAAGUGUGUUGCUUUGUUGUGGUUUCUUAGGUAUUUCAGCUUAGAGUGAGCUUCGUCAAGGAUGUGAAGAAACAAGAGGAAAUGUGGGAGACGCAGCAUGAACUUGCUGCUCACAAGAUAUACGCUAUGUGCUCUGACCUUGGUGGUUUCUUCCUUAAGGUGAUACUAAUGUGUAUAUAAUAUACUCUUUAACUGUGAUAUUCUUACUUGCCUUUUACUUAUUUGGUGUGCUGAGACCGUUGGUUCCUUCAAUAGGUUGCGCAAAUUCUAGGGAAACCUGAUCUUGCGCCAGCUGCUUGGGUUAGAAAACUCGUCACUUUGUGUGAUCAAGCUCCUGCUACGCCAUUCGACUCAAUUAGACUUGUCCUGGAGAAAGAGUUAGGUAAAAGCAUUGAUGAAGUGUUUGAAUCAUUUGAUGAUAAGCCUCUUGGGUCUGCUUCUAUUGCUCAGGUACUAGAAGAUUAAUCACACAACUGUUUGAGAACCUUUGUUGUGUACUUCUGUGCAUGCUUAUAAAAACAAGAUUAAGAUGAUGAUACUAUCAUCAUGAGAGAAAUUUAGUAACAGCAAUUUAAGCAAAACUUACAGUUUCACUCUUUAUCUUUGUUGCUUCUGGUUUAGGUUCAUCGUGCAAGAGUAAAGGGAGACGAGAGAGAUGUUGUUGUAAAGGUGAGAAUAAUCAUUAGACAAACUGAAAGCUUUCUAGCAUUUUUCAUUAGUGUCUGAAUGUGGAACCACAUGUUUAGGUUCAACACCCUGGCGUUGAGAAACUAAUGAUGACAGACAUACGGAACUUGCAAAUAUUUGCAUUAUACAUGCAGAAAACAGAUAUCAAAUUUGACUUGUUCUCCAUAACAAAGGAAAUGGAGAAGCAGGUACACUUGUAAAGAUAUAAGGUUAGGAUCUUACUGCUCUCUCAAGUCACUAGAACUCCUUGUGUGUUUUCAAUUUUUUCAAGAUUGGAUAUGAAUUUGACUUCAAAAGGGAGGCCAAUGCAAUGGAAAAGAUCCGUCGAUUUCUUUAUGAUAACAACAGGAAGAGUCCUGUUCUGGUUCCCAGGGUGUUGCCACAAUUGGUGACCAGGUACUUAUUCUUAUAUUAGCCUUCCAGUUAUCUCAAUAGGUUUUUUUAACUUGUCUUGCUUCACUGAUCAUGAAUGUGGUUUUGACAGAAUCUCUUUUCAUUCAUGAUUCUUUUUAAAAAAAUUAGUGCUGAUCAGAGGGUAACCAUAAUGCACACAGGAGGGUUCUGGUGAUGGAUUACAUUAAUGGAAUCCCUAUCUUGAGACUCGGUGAUGAGAUGGCCAAAAGAGGGAUAAAUCCUCGUGGUAGGAUGGCGGAGGCAGCAAAACUGUAAGCUUUCUAGGAACAGACAAUCUCUCUCUCUAUGCUUUUGAUCUCUUGUUUCUUGACUAGCAUUUGGAUCUUGUCAUGAUGUGUAACGGGAUAAUGUUCUCUUUUUUUUUUUUCUCUUACUCCCACAGAAAUAUACUUAGCAGUUUGUCUAAAGCAUAUGGGCAAAUGAUAUUGAAGAGUGGUUUCUUUCAUGCUGAUCCACAUCCUGGGAACAUCUUGAUUUGUAAAGGUUCAGAGGCAAGUCAUCUUAAUUGACUUUACUGGGGUCUUCUGAUUUGUUUUGCUGUUUAUGUAUUUUUGACUUGUGACCUUGUUUCUCGUUGUUAGGUUGCACUGCUAGAUUAUGGUCAAGUGAAGGAACUACCUGACCAUUUGAGACUUGGUUAUGCAAAUUUGAUCAUUGCCAUCGCUGAUAACAAUGCCUCAUUGGCAUCACAGAGCUUUAGGUAAUUCAAAAACUCACUAUUACCUGUGGGACUUGUUUGUCCUAUGGGAUAGAGUCUUGUGAUGGAGUGAGAAGGAAAUAGUUGGUGAUAAGACUUUGUUAACUUAUGUUGGUUACAUUCAUUUGGUCAGAUUAGUGUAGCAUAUGAUCCCUUGGUUGUUUCCGUGGUGAAUAUAUAGGGAACUGGGUAUAGUUACAUUUGCCAAGUGUGAGAAUGAGCAGCAAGAACUUCUCCAGUUAGCAAAAACGAUGUUCGACACAAAGAUGCCUCCCGGUGUAUCAGUUCUGCAACCUUUCUCAGAAGACUCUUCCAUCAAAAAGAUAUCCGUUGAGGUAAUUGUACAACCUGUUGUGUGUGUGUGUUUGGGUAUAAUGCAAAAACUUUACUGUGUUUGUUUGUUUGUUUGUUUGUUGUGGGAUAGGGAUUUCCAGAGGAACUAUUCUCUGUUCUUCGCACGGUGAUUCUGUUAAGAGGGCUGAGCGUAGGGAUUGGGCUUAAUUACUCAUGUGCUCAACAGUGGAAGCCUAUCGCAGAAGAGGCUUUGCUUGCAUCUGGAAGACACUCGCCAGGUUUACCACUCUUUUGUAUUACUUUUUUUUAUUGUUUAGCAAAAUCUGUUUUGUAAUGGAAGGUGACAACAUUUCAGGUAAAAAGCAGAAGCGUAGAUUUAGUUCUUUGAGGAGGCUAUACCCAAGAGAUUAAGAACACAAACACAUAACAGAGUUGAUGGUUUUCUUUUCUCUUGCAAAUGAUACAAUCAAGGCAGCAAGUUGUCUAUACACGCAAAUGUCCAGUGACCCAGAAACUAUCCAGCCGUUAGUUUCAUAUUCAGUUAAGAGAAAACAUGCGUUAAUAUUCAUGAAAAGACUUAUUAUCCCCCUUGCAAAAUUCUCAGACCCUAAAAGUGCAAGAAAACAACCACAUGGAUGCAUGCUCAAGAGAGAAAUAACUUAAUAUGAUCCCUUUAAUUUGGUGUAUUGGUUCCAAAGAUUUAAUAUAUGCCUUUCAUAUUAACUGCAUGUCAAAUGAAUGACAUUUAGACAAUUGGUAGCCAUAAAGGAUGACACUGGAGUCCUUCUAAGUUCUAUGUCAGAAAAAACUUGAAUUCAAUCAAGAUUCCCUUGAACACAAGUGAGCAUUUGGGUCCACAACUACGAAAAUAAACUAGAUAGGAUAACAUGAUAUGUACCACGUACUGUAUUUGUGAGUGGAUGCCAUAACAUUAUGCUUAUGUUCAAAUUAUCGGCGUACUUUACGGACGAAAACAAAAAAUAAUAAACAAAAGAAAAAAAGAAUGAUAUGUCGCUUGCAUGCAUGUAAGAGCUGUCUGCUUUCCUUUCAGAGACUAUAAUAAGUCUUUGGGAGGCAUGUGCUGUGGUUACUCAAAUCUUCAGUGUCGUUGUCAGAUUUAUCUUGGUGGAGUGAAGGUGAAGAUAUCUUGAGCCUAUCCUUGAUUGAUUCCCACUCCUUCAUCAGUUUAUUUUUGUUAAAUUGUAACUCACUUUUAUAUUUGAUUUGUGUUUUAAACAAUGCUAAAAAGUUGUUAAACGGUAAUUAAGUGUUUAUAGAUGAUUAAUGCUUAGGUGAACGUUUUACGUUUGGACGACGCCUAAACCGAUUCUUUCAGAAAAAUCAUUUUAUCACUUUGAUCUAUUUUUAGAACACUGGUUUUGAAUAAAGAUGUUAUUUUGACCCAAAUUUUUGACAUUAUUAUUAUUAUUGUACUUUUCCUUUUAAUAAUACUCACUCACGUUUUUAGUUUUCUCUUGUAAACCAACCGUAUCAUUUGAUUAAGUUUGUCCGAAGAUUAGCAUGCCUAAACUGUCAAAAACAACCUAACAAUUACAAAUGGAAUGAAUCCCGUAGAACCUGCAAAUCACGGGACACUACAUGUCCCACUAUACUUCUUCUUUACAUCUCUAAUGCUUUUCACAUUAACCUAUCAUUACGAAUACCUAUUAACUAAUGACUUUUAGAGCAUAGAUUUGGAUUUAAAUCCCCUGCCGUGAUUGGUGCAUUAAGAAGUGGAAAAGUAAUAUGGUGAAAACAAACAAAAAAUAUUACUGUUUUCACGUCAUUUUCACCAACACCAAUCAUGAAGAAAAUGGCUGAAACUAACCUCUACAUUUGAAGAUUUACGCAAUAAUUAGUCAAUAGUUAAAUAGGAAGACUAAAAACUCCAAGAGCAAAUGAGCUUAAAUUUGAGAAAAAUGAAAACCAUAAUGAAGAAAACAAUUACAUAACCCUACUAAAACUACAUGGCUUACAGUUUGAUUAUCAAAUUUUUUAUUUUCUUUUUUUCAUCAUCUCAUUCUUUUUUAUGUUUGCCAUUUAUGUUUUGGUACUCGAUUACUUUGACAUGUUCUGUUCUGUCGGUUUAACUUUGCUUUUCGUUGAAAUCUCCCCUAACAUGUGCUAUAGUAUAUGGUUGGAGAGUCAGCUCUCAGAAUAAUAAAGGCUAACGGUUCUGAUACGGACACUUUCUAAUCUCUUUAGAUUAUAGUUUGUUGCAAUAUAUGCAACUAUAUAUAUAUCCUGAAACAUAAGAUGUAAAGUCUGAUGAAAUGCAAAUUAAGCUAAAGCAUGAGAAAUGAAAAAAAAACUAGCAGUCUAUGGACUUUUUUUUUUGCAUCAUUAUAAUAGGUUGUGAUUUACAUAACAUCUCAAACUUUUGUUAAAUUCAUUUCGAGUGAAACUGUUAUAUAAACUGAUACAUUUUAGUAAAAGGCGAAAGAAUAGUUCGCUUUGUGCUCACCACAUGGCUGUGUUUUUGUUGUUGGUUUGACGUUCUUUAAAAGGAGUAAUUUAAUCAACUAGAAUGGUUACUAAGUUUGGAUCCUUAAUCAUUACUUCAAAACCAACUUCCUAUUGUUUUUAUUCGGCUAAACAGAGUAACAGACAAGUGGAACUUAUUUGAAAAGUAUAACAUUUUCGACCUAAUUAGAUUGGAGGCUUUUGUUUUUUUUUGUCAACAAUUGUAACGGAUGUAAAGCAUUCUAUUGGUUCUUCCUAAAGAUUAUUAUUAUAUAAAUUCUUUACUAAAGAAGAUAUAUAUAAAAGAGUGGGACCCUAAACCGAAAAGUCCAAUAACAAAAGAGUGUGGAGUUUCCUGUACAUAUAUCUUUUAUAUAAACACUCAAACUUUCAUCUAUUCGCACUCAAACCUUCUCUCCUCCAUCUUCGUUUCCCUCUUCUCUUACUUAAACCAAGAGAAGAAAAAAUAAAGAAAAAUGCAGAUGACGAAGCUCUUUAUCUCCAUAGUCUCCUUUCUUCUCUAUGCUCAUUUGAUCUUAUCUUCACCAGUACCAGACCCAGAAGCUAUCGUCGAAGAAGUUCACAAGUACAAAUUAAAUCUUAUUUCUUCCAUAUUCUUCUUGCACAUUUUACUUGUAACACAACUUCUCAUGUAAUAAUAAUAUCCUUGGUUGUCAACUCUUGCAGGAGCAUUAAUGCGUCGGUUGCUGGAAGAAGGAAGCUAGGUUACCUCUCAUGCACCACUGGUAACCCCAUCGACGACUGUUGGCGAUGCGAUCCACACUGGGAGACCAACCGUCAACGUCUCGCAGACUGCGCCAUAGGGUUCGGCAAGAACGCUAUAGGUGGCCGAGAUGGUCGUAUCUACGUGGUGACAGACUCAGGAAACGACGACCCAGUGACCCCCAAACCCGGAACGUUAAGAUACGCUGUGGUUCAAGACGAGCCACUAUGGAUCAUUUUCCAACGAGACAUGACCAUUCAGCUCAAAGAAGAGCUGAUCAUGAACUCUUUCAAGACCAUAGACGGUCGUGGCGCGUCAGUACACAUAGCUGGUGGGCCAUGCAUUACGAUCCAGUACGUGACUAACAUCAUCAUCCAUGGUAUCCAUAUCCAUGAUUGUAAGCCAGGUGGUAACGCUAUGGUGCGGAGCUCACCACGGCAUUACGGAUGGAGAACGAUAUCGGACGGUGACGGUGUCUCCAUCUUUGGAGGAAGUCAUGUUUGGGUUGACCAUUGUUCGUUAUCUAAUUGCGAAGACGGGCUUAUUGAUGCUAUAAUAGGCUCGACGGCUAUUACUCUGUCUAACAAUUACAUGACGCAUCAUGAUAAGGUCAUGUUGCUUGGUCAUAGUGACACUUACACUCGUGACAAGAACAUGCAAAUCACCAUUGCUUUUAACCAUUUUGGCGAAGGUCUUGUUCAAAGAAUGCCAAGGUAAAAAAGUAUAUAAUAAUGUUAGAUUUUUGUUAGUAAAUUAAUGUGAUUUUGAUAUGUGAUUAAAAUUUUGGGACCAUUUGUUUGAUGUGUGUAGGUGUAGACAUGGGUACUUCCAUGUGGUGAACAACGACUAUACACAUUGGGAGAUGUAUGCUAUUGGUGGAAGUGCUAACCCUACAAUCAAUAGUCAAGGGAACAGAUUUUUGGCCCCAGAUAUUAGAUUUAGCAAAGAAGUGACUAAGCAUGAGGACGCCCCAGAGAGUGAGUGGAAGAGCUGGAACUGGAGAUCCUCUGGUGAUUUAUUGCUAAACGGUGCAUUUUUUACGCCUUCGGGUGGUGCUACCUCGUCUAGCUAUGCCAAGGCUUCGAGUCUUGGGGCUAGACCGUCUUCUCUUGUUGGACCGUUGACGGUUGGUUCUGGUGCAUUGAAUUGCCGUAAGGGUUCCCGUUGCUGAUUGUGGUGGCUCACUUAAGUGUAUUUAGCCAAUUUAAAAAAUGAUAUAGAAAAGGCAAUUAAAGCCAUCAAUUAAGGGGUUAAGUUAUAACUUUCAUUACCCCCUUUUAAUUAGUCUCUUUUGAUUUUUCUUCUUUUUGGGGUAAAGUUAAGGAGAAUACAACCUCUGGCUUCACUUCUCUUAGGACCCAUCUAAGGAAUUUUCUGUUUUAAGGUAUCUUUUAUGGCCCCAUCUUUUAUUAGGUUAAAGUGUAGUAACAAGUGCAGAUGUGUUGAUCUUCAUAUUAAUAUACUAUAAUAUAUGUCUUCUGUUUUUUUUAUCUUCUUAUAAAAUCAUAACGAUGAACACAAACAGCUCAUAUGGAAAGUGUAGGCACACAAUGCACAUUCAUAACUCAGAAAGUUUGGAAUGUUCUCUAACAUGGGAAGCUUUUUGGGUCAAAGUUGUUCGAACCAAUCAAUGCCUGACAAAAGCCACGACUUUUCUACACUAUGGUUGAUGCAUAGACUGUGUUAAAUACAAAUAAUUCAAAAGGAAGAAAAACUGAAGUAGUCAUGUGUCUCAGCAGCCCUACUUUGGAUGGAGUGGUCAUAUUCGUGUAUUGACUAUUGUCCACUGAUUGUGGAUAUAUUUUAAAUCUGUAACUAGUAUAACUAACGAACCAAUGUAUUCGUUUUCCUCCAUAUAACUAACCAGUAUAAUACACCUUUUUCUUUGCCAUGUCAUGUCCCAUGUGCAACAUAUUAUUAAUUCAUUAAGGAAAGAAAAAGCAAUAAGAUCCUGUGGUUACUAGUCGCAACAAACAAUGUGAUGCAGUUGGUUUGUUUAUGUGGUAGUUCAAAUCGGUAAAGUCAGUAAUGCAGAAUAUGAAGUUACAAACUUACAAAGAAAGUCUUCCCUUCUUUUUCUUUUGUCAUAAUAAUAAUAUAACAUCAAAGUUGUUAGAAAUUUUUGACACUCAAAACAAUUAGGGUUUAAAGAUCGGAUUAUAUAGUUUGAAGACCGAAUGAUCCCAUUACAUACUAACCACUGGGUCCGAGAUGGAUAUUUUGUUUUGCUGUCCCAAGGACUCGUUUUGUUCCAAACACAUGAAGCUGUUAUGUUAACUUUUAGUGGUCAUAUUCUAUUCCAGGACCUAGCUAGAACCUGUAGAACUUAAAAAUCAAACUAACUAAACCAAGCCCAUCCUAAUCGAAUCGCCCAAUAAUUAGCCCAUUCAAAUAUUAUUUUUCUAUUUUCAAAAUAUUUUAUUCUUAAAUGAUAUUUAACUUUUGGUAUCGAACAAUAGUCUCUUCUCUUGCGCUGUCUUGUCCCUCCUUAUCCCUAUCUCUCUCCCACUCCUCUUCCUCUGCAAUGGCUUCUUCAAUAGUAACCUCAAGCUUCAAGCCCUUAGCCAUGGCAGACUCUUCCUCUUCCACCAUCUUCUCCCACCCUUCACUCUCCACCAUCUCCCCUCGCUGCUCCUUCCUCACUAACCUCCCGCUCUCGUUCUCCCGCGUCUCCCUAUCUCUCAAAGCCAAAACCAACCUAAAGAAGUCGCCUUUCGUCUCCUUCGUUGCUCAGACUUCUGAUUGGGAGGGGGAAGAAGGUGGGGACGUGAGCGCUUCCGUCGCCGUUGAGGAGAACGAGCCAGAGGCGACGUUUUCCGAAGAGGAAGGAGAUGUGAGCGAAGGAGGUGACUUCCCGGAGCCACCGGAAGAAGCGAAGCUCUUCGUCGGAAACUUGGCGUACGACGUUGAUAGCCAAGCCUUGGCUAUGCUCUUUGAGCAAGCUGGUACCGUUGAAAUCGCUGAGGUGAAUGUUAUUUGCUGCUUGUAUGUGUUUAUGUUCAUUAUGCAUUGCUUAAGUGGUUUAGAUAAAAGUAAUGUUAUUGGCUUUUAAGUGUUUGAAGCAUCUCUGGCUUGAGAGUACUACUGAAGUGAUGUGUGGAUUGAAUUUGCAUCUAUUGACAUUGUAUGUUCGUAUAGAUAACGUUAUUAAUCCUAAAGUGUUCUUGGGAUUCUUGUGGUUGAAGGUUAUCUACAACAGAGAGACAGACCAGAGUCGUGGGUUUGGAUUUGUGACAAUGAGUACGGUGGAGGAAGCCGAGACUGCUGUUGAGAAGUUCAACCGUUAUGUAAGUUUUAUAUGUUUCUACCAUUUCUGAAGUAGUAGCAUCUCUUGUUCUGGGAUGUUAAUCCUUUGAUAUUGGCUCAUAAGUGGCGUCAAUAACUCUUAAUCCGACCAAAGCUUUUGUCUUUCUGCUCCAUUUUCUUUUUUUGUCCAUAGAGUAGUGCUGUUUACUACCUAUCCCCAUUUGUUGCAUUUUUCAUGGAGAUGUUAUGUCUUAGACAUUUUGUCAACAGAGUUGAGUUUGGGGCUCUGUUUGUGAGAAGAUUACUGAGCAUCUGUGUUGUUUUUUUUAUUGUCAGGAUUUGAACGGACGGCUUCUGACAGUAAACAAGGCAGCACCAAGAGGAUCACGUCCAGAACGCCAACCUCGGGUAUACGAACCUGCAUUCAGAGUCUAUGUUGGAAACCUACCAUGGGAUGUGGACAACGGUCGUCUAGAACAAGUUUUCAGCGAGCAUGGCAAAGUUGUGGAAGCUCGUGUGGUCUACGACCGUGAGACAGGUCGUUCACGUGGGUUCGGUUUUGUGACAAUGUCUAACGAGACUGAACUCAAUGACGCUAUCGCUGCUCUUGAUGGACAGGUAAACCUUCCUCUCAUAUGGUCAUGAAGAUUCUGUGAUGAUCUCUCAAUCGAUCUUUCUUUAUGUCUAUGUUUGCAGAACAUGGAAGGUAGAGCAAUCAGAGUGAAUGUCGCGGAGGAACGUCCAAGGCGUGGAUUUUAAGGAUUGAGAUUUUCUCUUGUGCCUCUCUUUAUCUCUUUCCAUUUUGUUUAGACGAGAUUCUUACACUCUUUGGUGAUUUUUUUUUUUGUUCUGUCUGAACUCUUGCUUCUUCUAUAGCACAUCAUUGCCUUCAGUAGUACCUUGACAUACAAAUUAGUUGAGACCUAAGACUAAAGGUUGGUGUUGUAUGGUUAGUGAGUCUUGGCUCGUAAUCACUCUUCGAAAACAUGAGAGAUAAUAAUAUCUCAACAUUUAUUUCGAUAAUAAAAUCCAUCAUUCAUCAAACAAGCAUAAUCAGGGUUUAUUAGUACUAAAACAUAGUUUAACCUGAUAGAUAAAGAAGUUCCCAGAAUCAAAAGCGACACAUUAAGCCUCCUUCUCGCCAGUGAGGAGGUCCAUCACUACGCCUUUGAUGCUUCCAUUGUUCUUCUUCAGCAGCUUCUUGUUCGUCACAUCAUCACAGAAGCCCUGGCAAAAAUCCACAUCAUCAACACCGCACCCUUUAUCUGAUUUUCAAAUAUUAAAAUACAAAAGUGCACACACUCACCAUUUCCUGAAGCUCCUCUAGGAUAGGAUCCCACUCGCUAACUCCACAAAGAGCAUCAACAGACUGCUCCAAGUCAUACUCGUUUUCCCUUAAGAUCUCCUUGUUCAAAUCAAUCUCUUUGAAACCCAUUUCCUCCAGCUCCUUGAGCAUGGUUAUCUCCACGUCGUUCUUCUCAAUAUCCUCUUGAAGAUCAACAGGGAUGUCCUUUGUGGAUGACGAACCACCACCACCCAAGGCCUCAACAGCAGGCAUGUUUGGGAACUCGAUCAUGUUGAAUGAUGACGAAGAUGAAGAUGGACUAAGAGUAGCAGGCUCAGCUUCACCAACCGGCAGGUCAUCCUUUUCUGGGACUUUUGAUCCAGCAGCUUCUCCUUCUAGCUCAGCACCUUUCUCUACCUCAGAGUUAACACUGGAGCUGCCAGCUUGAGUUGGCUUAUGACUAAUCCCUGUAAAUUCGCUUGAAGAGUUUUCAUCAGGGGAGGCAUUCAAGUUCAGUCCAUGAAACUUAUUCACAACGAAAUUUUCCAAGGAUGCAUCAACCUAACCACGCAAACAACAACAAAAGGUUAUCAAAGACGUUUUGAUAGAGAAACAAAUAUUCAAGGGAGAGAGCAGCAAGAUCUAGUAAGUACAUGUAUCAACACCCAAACACGUUGCCCGAACUUGGCACCACUAGAGGAAGCCAUCCUCCAAUAAGAAAUGUAUCGACCAGGUAACUCUGGUGCAACAAAAUCAACUUUCACGUCCAGCUCACUGUCGAUAGGCGCACCCUCCGCUGGAAUCUGCAAUAAUGUUGAGACCAAUAAACAACUAGUAAAAAAAAAAAACUAUUGCCACUUUGUGCACAGAAAAAGCUAACUCAAGCCAAACUGCGAAUAAUUCAAAACUACAUAAUUGAUCUGUAAAUGGAACAUACCUGUAAAUCAACUGACAAUGAGUUGCUGAGUCUGUCCCCACCGAUCCAGACUAUCUGAGUACCAUGCGGCCACACCAGCGAACCAUUGUUCCUCAUUUUCCAAAUCUUAGUGAACUGAGCAGAUGGAGCAAAAACUGUCCCAUCAAGUACAUUCACAUCAAGCACAAAGCGGCUGUCAAGCUUAGGCCGAGUGCACCUGAGGUGUAAACCUCCAUGUUGUGGUUGUGGCACAUGGCCCACCCACGGGUUCGAGAUCUAUAUAGAUAAAAGGGUAAGAUUUCCAUUUAGCUACACUAAGGAAAGAGACGGCACAGAUAAAAAGGAAGCUUAAAGAUAGAAGAAGAGCAGUACUGGGGUAAGUUGUCCUCUAAAAGGAUGUGAAUGUUGAACUGAGGCUGGCUUAUCCAUCCUUGUGUAAUCCCCUUCGUUACCCAUCACCGAAAAGCAGAUGGUGCAAAGAUCAUAGUCUUCUUUGCUGAAAAAUAUUCACCAUAGAGACAAAUAAGCAAAACCAAAUUUCUAAGAUGACUAUAGUUUCUAUGUUUGCUAUAAGAAAAGGUCUUCCUUACACUUUAGACUUGAACCUUGACCCGGUAAUUGGAAGAACUCCACAUCCAUCACAGCGGAUGCCCUUAUGGAAGACACCCAGUGAGGUCCAGUAAUCACCAUUGCUGCUCUUUUUGUUGUGGCAUACACGCCGGGCAUGCUUUUUGAAAUUCACUGGAUUUGGACUGGAGCGAUUCACGGUACUGCCACUGAAGGGACACUCGUUGAAACUAGCAUCAAGUCCAGAGGAGGUUGGUACAGGACCAGAAGUCUUUGAAACAGCAAAGCCAGUUGGUUCAUUAAGAUCAACAGGUUUUUUCCCGGUUUGGCUCUUCUCAGAGAUAUUCUUCUUUUCACCAAAGGAAGGAACCUCCCUGCUCGGGUAAGGACCCGAAAGAACGGGAAUAGCAACAGGUGAUAAAAGACUACCUUCCUGAGGACCAGAGAGUGUCCCUAGCUUGGAGAUGCAAUCAAACAGCUCACCAACAACAGGGCUAGAAGAUAUGGUUUCAUCGUUGAUACCCUUCUGGAUUUGGGAAACUGGGUUUAUGCUAUUAGGCAUGGCCGAAGCUGUUGAACUCCGAGUACCCUCUGGAGCAACAGAGUUAGUGUUGGACUGCACAUGAAUCUUCAAGAACUUAAGGCGCUGAUUCGUGACAUCAAAGAGGUCAUUGUUAUCAACCAGGGCCACCACAUCGCCAUCUUCAUCAGAGUAAGUCAGAGAGAAGUCAGCAUCCACAGGGAAGUUAAACAGACGAAUGAUCUUCCACCUAAGAACAGCCAUAUCAAGAUCAAGCUGUCCAUUAGCGUUGACAGACACCCUGAAGCGCCUAAGCACACCUCCAUAGCUAACCUGUAAUGAUUAAAAAACACAUCACUUAAAUGAAACUUAAGUUACCCUUGAAUAACAGAUGCGGUGGCAACGCCUUAGACACUUAAUAUCAGAAACAAAAAAUAAAUUAAUAUGUUUCUCUAACAAGUUUUCCUCAAGACCGACCAAUAACAGAUGUGGUGGCACAUUGGUCUGUGUCUUAAGGAAGAAACAAACUUAAAUAACAAGAAGCUUAGAAAUCACGAUCAAGCAACCUUUAAACUAGUUAGAAUCCCAAGUUCUGAUUCUGGAUACAAUCAAACCUAAUUUUGAAUCUUUCUUAGGAUUAUAUGCUUCUAGCAGAUACAGUUACGUAUCUUACACGGUUCGAUCUACGGCGAAAUCAAAUUCAAAAACGAAAGGACCGAUCACAAGCAACAAGAAAUCUCGUAAAACCUAGAACAAAAGCGACACGAUAGCUGCCACAUGGUCAACGGACAGCAACAGCUACAAAACUGUGAGGAUCAUUACAAAUAAGAAAAGAGGAUUGUAUAAUAACCUUGACGACGAGAGAAGUAGCAGAAUCCAUCGCGAAGAAACCCUAAUUCACGAUGAGUACCGAGAGAGAGGGGCUGAGAAUCGGAGAGGUUAAAAUCCUUUUUAAGGGAGAAGGAAGCGUACCCGUUAUCCGCUUAUGUCGUCAACUUCCCAAAUAUCUCUCGAUAGACUCUCCUCUCGCGUUUUUAUAUAUGAUCGGACGAUUGCUUUUAUUUAAUUAUGUUAUUUGACUUAUCCAACACUAAGAUAUUAUGAUUUGACUUUUUCUCAUUCAUUAUUUAUUGAAGAUAUUUAAAUAUUUAAUUUCACUUACUUAACUAACUAGAUAUUUUUUUAAAUGGUAAUUUAUGUUAUUAUGAUAAUUAUUAAAUAAACGAUUGUAUUAUCAACAACUUUUACACAGAACUAGCUUAUUUUUUGGAACAUCCAAGGGGGUUUCACCUUCACCCAACUGGAUAUUAUGAUUGUGAUAUCAUGAUAUGUUUUCUUGUUAGAUUUUUAUCUGUUGAAACUUACAAUUAACAACUGAUCAUAAACUUACCAUUAAUAAAAGAAGUGGAAGUAGUGAACUAUUUCAAGGCCAUCUGCGCAUUUUCUAUAGUUUUGUAUGAAAAGGAAUUAGUGAACUAUACAAACCUAAAAUUUCUUUCUAAAAUCAUGUACCUGUAAUGUGAAUCGGAUGCCCAAGUUGUUGCUUACUAGCUAGCUUUCUUGAUUAAUUCGUUUCACAUUUAUAUAUCAGAAGCAUGUAUACCCGGUUUGAUUGUAGUCAUACCUAGGCCUGGGCGUUCGGUGGUCCGUUCGGUAUCGGUCCGGGUAAUUCGGAUUUUUGGAUUUUCGGUGUUAUGCUCAGAAGUAUCAUUCGGGUUUUACUAAUUAUCGGAUCGGUUUCGAUUCGGUUCCUUCCUGGUUCGGUUCGGAUUGGAUGUAACCAAUGUUUAAAAUCGUCCAAAAAUAUAUUAUUUUUAAAGCUUAAAAAUUGACAAUUUUUUUCAAAAUAUAUAAAUUGUUUACAAAUCUAAUUAAAAAUUAGUUAAAGUAUCUAAAUUAACUAAAAAGUAUUCAAAAUAACAAUUAAAACAAACUAAAAAAUAUUUUGAAUAUCCUAAAAUAUCUAAAUCAUCUUAAAAUAUAUAAAAACAUUAACAUAUUUAACUAAUUUCGGAUAUCUUCGGAUCCUAGUUCGGAUGUCGGUUCGGUUCGGAUUAUAACCAAACACCAAAGUACUAAGCUCAUAAGUCCCGUUCGGAUAUUUUGAUAUAACAGUUCGGAUUCGGUUUUGGUUUUUCCGGUUCGGGUCUAGGUAGGUACUUCGGGUUGAGUUAAAAACGCCCAGGCCUAGUCAUACCCAUUGAUUAUAUAUUGCAUCAAAUUCAAAUGUGGUUUAUAUAGAUGAGGCGGAGAUGCACAGUCAUACGAGGGAGAAUUAAGGUUCCGUUCAUACACACUUGUUACAUGUUUUAACAAGCCUGAUGGGCUGUUAAGAGAAUCAGACUAAUCACUAGUGAACCGUAGUAAAGGCAUACUGAUCCAUGAUUUGGCGUACUAUACUGCCUACUGGGCGCUGCAGUAUAUGCCGAUAACUUCAAUAGCUGAUCAGGAUGUAAUGCUCUUCAUUGCCACACGCAGAGAUGCGUAUUGGGUACUUUCUUGUUACAUUUUGCUUAAUUUGUGAGAACAAAACAAAAAGGAAGUGUCUCUUAGUUGCGAUCCGUGGGAAAGGCGGGACAAACCUUAUCUUCCAACCUUUGAUUGUGCUAAUUAACAAACUAUAGGCAGAUUAAGGUUGAUCAAGCAUGAAUCAACAAGUUUCUUGUUCGUUUGCAUAAAUUAUGUUAAGCCAUCAAAGAAAGCUCAUCAUGGAAAUGCUUCUACCUAAUCUUGCAAAGAUGUAUAGUGCUUUUUUUAUCAAGAUGACAGUAAACAAGAAAAUUUAAAAAAUGUUUUAACUCUACCAUUGUUCCAGGUGCGUUUUAAGUUAGUUGUGGUACAAGGUAUUCUGGUUACUGAAUGACGCUCAUAAAACUUGGUUCGGCUUUAGUAUUUGUUUUUCAGUUUAACCAAAGGAAAAGAUAAACAUACAUGUUAUUAUUGUGGUUAUGGAUUCAUGGACUAUAAGAACAAAUGUUUGAUGAAUACUUCCUCCCUUUCGAAAUGUAUGAGUUUUAAAUAAGGUUUUGAUGUUUCAAUGUGUAAGAUGUUUUAAUUGUUCUAGAUAAUUUUUAACUUUGUAAAAAACUGUAUACAGGAUCCUAUUUUGUAAUAUACUUUGCAGUUGGUUAAAUAAGUUUUAAAUUCUGUUUAGUAAUACUUUUAAGGUAUUUUUUAAUAGUUAUGUAUUUACUUAAAGCAUCAUACAUUUUAGAACAUUGAAAGUUAAGAAAAUUCUACAUAAAAGAAGCCAUUAAUAGAUAGCGUUUAAAUAUACAUAAAAAUAUCUAACAUAUGAAAGUGUGCCAUCUUUCCAAAAUAGAGACAAACAUUUCUCAUAUUGUAUAGUGUAUAUAUAUUACCUCAUGGUCAAGUAGUAGGUAAAAUUUGAGAAUGUACUUUUUUGGGUUCAAGUUUCAUUUUAAACAAAAUCACAAUUAUUUCGGAAGUUUGAUUUAAAUUCCUGAUCUAUACAGUUUAUAUAGUAGUCUGAUAUAGGCAUAAGACUUAUUAUCCGAGAUUCUGAUUCGAUUCGAGAUCCGCUCCGGAUCCGUUCUGAAAAUAGGAUAUCCAGGGUACCCGGAUCCGAAUCUGAAUAGUAAAAUCUUGGAUCCGUCCUAACUGAAUCUGGAUCCGAAUAUCUUAACUUUUAGGUCCAGAUAUCCGGAUCUGUAUUUUUAAAAAUAUUAAUUUUUAAAUUUCAUUAAUAUUUAUAUUUUAUAUAAUAAUAUUUAUACAUAAAUUAGUUUAAUAAUAUUAUAUUUUAGUUUUUAUAAUAUUAUAGAGAUAUAUACUCCCUCCGUUCCCGAAAGAAAGAUUUUAUAGAGUAUUCACGCAUAUUAAAAAUAUAAUAAAUGUUUACAAUUAUUUUAUUUCACUAUACAUUUUCUAAUAACUAUUAACUAAUAGUAUUUAAUCAAUUCAUUAAAAGCAUAAUUUAUCAACAUUAAAUACUAAAAGUACUUUAAAAUUCUAGAAAAUCUAUUAUUUUGGAAUAAAAAUAACUCUGAAAAAUUUUACUUUUAGGAACAGAUGGAAUAUAUAUUUAUAAAUCUUGUAUAAAUAUUUAAUUUAUGUAUCAUUUUUUAAAAAAAAAUUAGUAUUUUUUAAAAAAAAAUUUAAUUAUUUUUACGGAUCCAGAUUUGGAUAUUCGCGGGUAAUAGAAUAUAGAGACGGAUAUCCGAAAUACGGAUAUCUAGAAACCACAAAUCCGGAUAUUAAAUCCACGGAUCCGGGUAUCUUAAAUUUCUCGGAUAUAUGGAUCUGUCCCAUAGCUACUCUGAUAACACGUGAGUCAAUUACUUUUUGAUGUUAGUCAAAAAGUAUCAUAAAUUCGGAUCAAACAGUAUAGUGCUAAUUCAUAAAAAAAAGUCCACUUAUAACAUCAAGUGCGUUUUUACCAAAAUUAACUAAAUUAGUUGAUUUAAAAAUUCACUCUAUAAUAUUAAAUGCGCUAAGUACGUUUCUUACCUGAAUUAAUUGAAUCAACGGGUAGAGCAUAUUAAAUAAUAUAUAUAUUAGUAGAUCACCAAAACUACCAAACCAUGCUCUGAUACCGUAUAUACGGAUGAGGAGAGGAGAGGAGAGGAGAGGAGAGUAGAAGGGAGGGGAGACAUAACCACACAACGAUUCACGUGAUGAUUCUGCAAAACUCAUCAUCAACUUUCUCUUGACUACGCGCACAUCUUUUUGUGGAGCUAUUCCAUUGUCAAACCGGCCUUCGUAAUUUGUCUUUUUCCACAAUCAGAUCCUUCCUUCUUUAUCAACUUGAUCGUCUUCUUGUCCUUUUCCUUCUUCAGGAAUCAUGAGUUACUGUAAUAUUGUGAGAAUUGUAAUUUUUAUUUUUAUACCAAAUACUCCGAAUCUGAGGUUGAGUUUCAAUUACACCUAUUCUUGAAUCUUGACCAUUUGAUAGUUGUUUCAAAUUAACCUAUUCAUCAUUACUCAUAUCACCAUCCUCAUUAUAACCAAUGUAUGUGUUUCACAAUUUCACUAUUAUAAACAAUCCAACAAGUUAUAUAUAUACUUGUUUUUCUAAUUUUUUUAAAAAAAUAUAUAGAGAGAGAAAAGAGGGUUGAGAGACUUAAUAUGUUGAUCAAAAAAAAAAAGAGGCUUAAUAUAGUUUUCAUAUUAAUACAUUUUAGCUUAAAUUAUGUUCUAAAGAAAAUGAUGCUUUAGAUCUUAGAUGAAUUCGCUGCAACAUGACUUCUUCAAGUCCCUCAUCUCAAACAUGGCGUGGAACAAUCUUUCUCAAUUGUUUUUAAAUCUUCAUAUAUUAUCGAAUAGGAAAAAAGUUUGUCAGCUACGCGAAGUUUACUAUAAUAUGGUAUAAACCAUCCAAUGUAUGAAAACGUAUCAACAACUACACUAUGUUUAUUUUAAUACAUGCCACAUAUACAAAGUAAAUGAUUAUAUGGUGGCAACAUCACAAACGGAUUUAAUUGAUUUUAAGCUAAGUUAAUAGGGUCAAUUCGUAAUAUAUUAAAGUUAACUCUGAUUUACUAAAUCCGACCCGACCCAACUACUUUACCCGAUCCGUGUCACCUUAAGUCUCUUGUUUGGAUCCCCAAUUCAAAAUUAGGGUUCAUAACAAAAAAAAAAUAUUGAUUUCAAAGAGAUGCAAUGCAGAGGAGAUUUUCUUUAAUACUUUUAUCUUCCCCACUUGUUUUUGUUACUGUUCUUUCUUAUAAACGGUCCCAACCCCAACUGAUUAGUGUCUGUAUUGGAACAAAGCCAAAUGUAUGUUAUGUACAUUAAGAGUUAGAAAGUCUAGCGAGAAAGAGAGAAGGAGCCUUCACAUAACGCUUUUCCUUUGGUCAGCAAAAAAAAAAAAAAAGAGAUCUGUGAGCCAAGUGAAAUGUCAAAUUCUCAUUGUCAAGAACUUGGUCCAACUUCUGAGAAAAUAAUGUUUUCUCCUUGAUUUGCUUAACCCCAACUUUGAGUUUGCACACCCACUUGUUCUUACGCUUCUUCACAUACAAAAGUUGCAGAAUAUGAAAAAAAAGUAUCUUUUGUAGAAGAUUGACUCAUGUAUUCUGUUCCACGAGGUUUAAGAAUGGCAGAGAAGAUAAAAAAUAUUAAAGAAAACUAUCUCAAUAUUGCAUCUCUUUGAAAUCAAUUUUUUGGUUAUGAACCCUAAUUUACGAAUUGGAGAUCCAAACAUGAUACUUAAGUCGACACGGGUCGUGUAAAAGAAUUGGGUCGGGUCGAAUUUAGUAAAUCAAAUGUAAUUUUAAUAUAUUACGGAUUGGCCCCAUUAACUUAGCUUAAAAUCAAUUAAACUCGAUUGUGAUGUUGCCACCAUAUAAUCAUUUACUUUGUAUAUGUGACAUGUAUUAACAUAAACGUGGUGUAGUUGUUGAUACGAUUUUAUACAUUGAAUGGUUUCCACCAUAUUAUAGUAAACUUCGCGUAGCUGAGAAACUUUUUUCCUAUCGAAUAAUAUCGUGUAUUUUUUUCAGUUCGAUUGCUGGCAAUCCUAUAGUUACUUGUUUAAAAUGCAUUGGAAUUGAUGGGUGUAAUUAAACAACUCGAUUUUUAACACGGCCGAACAUGUCCAAAACAAGACUAGAUCGGUUGGUCCACAGAUGUUGGCUCACUGUAAUAUUCCUACAUAUAACACUGCAACGUAUUAGCAAAUUAAGGAAAAUUCCAAAAAACUAAUCACAUUUCAAGACACAAGAAUUAUUAGAACGGUUAGAUAUGAUGCUGUAUCUAUUCUAUUAAAACAGCAGUGUGACCCAUUGAUAAAAGUUAUGUCCAACUAAAAAUAUAACCGUAUCUAUAAUAUAAUUAUAUCUGGAAUAUUGUUUAGCCGUUUUUUUUUAACGACGAAUAUUGUUUAACCGUGUAACUUCGUAACUUCCUUUAUUUUCAUAGAAAACAUAUGAUAUGGGUGGGACCCAUGUUCUCUCACUUACUUCCUUUUACUGUUUCUUUUAGCAAUCCUUUUAUAUUAUAAGUUUCAUAGGUAACGUAUAUGUUUUAUACUAUAUCAAGAAAGGAAUAUUAUCUUCCAAUUAUUCACUUGGAGUAAGCACAAAAAAAAUGAACCAAAGAAAUUACAAAAUUAACGAAUAAAUCUCAAAAUUAUAAUAAACUAAAGCUUUAUUUGCUAUUGCUGGAAUCGUUAGAAAAAUUUUCUUCGUAUAUCUUUUAAAAAUUAAUUAUUUUUUUUAAAAAAAAUUAAUAGGUUUUAAUGGGUCUAAAUAGAUUUUUAAAAUUAUCAUGGGUCGAAAUUAAUAUACAUAUCUAUACUAUUAAAAUAGAAGUUGUUAUGAGGUUUAUUUGAUUUUUGCAUGUAUUUAUAUCAUUGUAACUCCUAUAUUAAUAGUAACCAUAUUGUUAUUUAUCAUCUAACUAGAUUAUGAUCCGUCCUUUCAAAUGACGAGUAUAUCUUUUGUUUAAAAUUUUCUGAAAAAUUUAAUUUUUAUAUUUAGGGUUUUAUAAUCAUACUAGAUUCUGAACCGUCUUUAAAAAGACGCGUAUAUUUUUUGUUUUGUAUUUUUUAGAAUUUAAUUUUGUAUAUUUGUGUUUUAGAUCAUAUUUGUGUUUUUUUCUUAUAAUAUUUCUCCUAAAUUAUUAAUAAUAAGUUUUUAUAAUUGUAUUAAAAUAGUUAGACUAUCCUCUAUCAAUAGGUCAUAUUCAUGUUUCAAUAGAAUAAAUUAAAUAUAAAUUUAUUCUAUUAAAACAAUAACAUGAUCUAUUGAUAUAGGUUUAGUCCAACUAAUUUAAUAAUAUUGAUUAAAAUCUCUUACUAAUUAUUUAAGAAAAAUAUUUUACACUAUAAUUACCAAAAAACACAAAUAUAAAAAUUAAAUUUCUAAAAAAAAAAUGUAAAACAAAAUAUAUACCCGUCCUUUCAAGGACGGGUCAGAAUCUAGUAUACACUUAAACUAGAUCUAUGGAAAAUCUCAUUGAACAAAUUUGAAAUUGUUUUUCAGUUAAUUUGAGAAAAAAGACGGAUUAUAGAUUUUCAAUUGUACAUCAUUGCGUUGAUGCGCGACUUGAGAAAAACGAAACUGAUAAUGAACACAAGUAAAACAAAAUUAAAAUUAAUUAAAGGCACUUUUGCUUUCAACAAAGUUCAUUUUUUGAAAAAAAAAAAAGUUCAUUUUUGGAGUAAAGUCCCCAGUGUUUUCACCAAAAAGAAAAAAAAAAGUCCCCAGUGUCCCACGUACUACAUUUAACAAAACCCUAAGCGUCCUUCAAAUUACUAAUCGAUCUCAAAUUUACCACUUAAUUAUAUCUUACAUCAAUGGUACGAGCUUUAAUUUUUUUUUUAAUUGUAUAAGCUAUACUUUUAAUAAACCCUGGAAACACAGUGAUAAUUUUUUUGACGAAACUGAAUAUGAGAAAUAUGCUAAAAGAAUUUAAAUUAUUGUUGACCACAAAUUCUCACACCAUCUCUCUUAUCUUCACAGUUUCAACUUUUCUUUCAGAUUAAAUUGAAUAUAUAAAUAUGUGAUUGUUCUUUUCAUUAUUUGUACUCAUAACCUACUUGAAUUAUUGGUCUCUUGAAUAGUUUUUAAGUUACAGUUCAACUGUACGGAUGUAAUUCUUGUGAUGUUCAAGAACUAUUAAAUAAUAAGAGAAAUGAAUUUUGAGGAGCAAGAAGAAGAAAUGGAGAUGUCGGGUGUUCAUCCCUCUGGCGGUUACGACUCUCUGAGCGGUGAGGGAGCCACGUCCAGCGGCGGUGGCGGAGGAGGAAGGAGAACUAGCGUUGGAGAGAAGACAAGGUAUAGAGAGUGCUUGAAGAAUCAUGCCGUUAACAUCGCUGGCCACGCCGUUGACGGCUGCUGCGAGUUCAUGCCUUCAGGUGAAGAUGGUUCGCUCGACGCUCUCAAGUGUGCAGCUUGUUGCUGCCACCGCAACUUCCACCGUAAGGAAACCGAAAUGAUCAGCGGCAGGGCCCACAUAGUUCCGACGUACUUCAACCGCCCGCCUCAGCUGCCGCCGCCAGGAUACAGGCAACCGGCUGCCUCGGCGGACGAGGAGGAUACAUCUAACCCGAGCAGCAGCGGCGGAACCAAGGCUAAGAGGUUUAGAACGAAGUUCACGGCGGAGCAGAAGGAGAAGAUGUUUGCAUUCGCGGAGAGGUUAGGGUGGCGGAUGCAGAAGCACGAUGACGUGGCGGUUGAGCAGUUCUGUGGAGAGACGGGUAUUAGGAGACAAGUGAUUAAAAUCUGGAUGCAUAACAACAAGAACUCUCUUGGUAAGAAACCCUAAUUAUUCUCCGACAUAUGGUUUAAGUACAAGAGGGAUCAUCAUUGCUUCUUUUCUUUUUGGUAAUGACUCUUUUGUAACUAGCUACUUGUACUUCUGGACAUGCUUUCUUCUUCUAGUUAAUAAUUUAAUCUAGUACUUUGGAAGGGUUUAAGACGAUUGUGAUUAACUACUCCAACUUUGGUUUGAAUGGUUAAGUUGAUAAAUCUACCUCCUAUAUUAUAUGAUGCGACUGAAUAUUUGGACAAAUGAUCUAUAACUGAAGUAAGCUGUUUCUAGUAUAAAGUUGCUGUUUGUAGACCAAGAAUCUCACUCUUAGCUGUUUUAGGUCGUUAGCCGUUUGAGUCUUUGUGAACACAAACCAGUAUUGCUAAUCAAUAUAAAGAAAAGCAAUAAUAAUAUAUACUUUUCGUUUUGAUUCCUACUAUAAGUUUCCAACUCAUUUGAUAUCACUUUAUUAAUUAGUACUACACUACUAUAUGAAUGUCGGCGUAAAUACAUAAAAAUUCCAUUUCUAUUUUAGCAAGCGUUUCUAGUCCACUCUAUAUCACUGUAUUAGCAUUACCAUACUCACAUGUCAAUCAGAUGAUCAGGAGAGGUUCGAGCUAGCCUUGGCUAGCUACAUCUUAACUUAUGUAAUAUUUACAUUUUCAUUGCGAUUAAGAGAAUUUCAAUUUUUUUGAUGUUGUUCACAGAGAUUAUCGAUCGCAAAAUCUGGAAUGUUUUAUUCAUACCAAAGAAAAUUUACCUAAUUAUGUGAAUAUACGUAAGCUUUCCAACCCACUCAAGUGACCCUAAAUAUGAAACUAACUAAACGAGAAUUUUGUAUAAGGUUUCACCAUAAAUAUAAAUAAUAAUUAAAACUUUCUUGUAUACGGUUUUCACAUAUUCAUGUUAUUGAUACAUACCUUUAUUAAAAUUUCUUAAUACAUUUCAUUUUGAUAAAGUAACUUGUUUUUUCUUAGUCUCAAAAAGGAACACGCACGAAACUAAACCAAUGAUUUCGGAUGGAGAUUAUUAGAAUCCACCUUGAUGAAGACAAUGACGAUAGAGCCAUGAAUUCACAUUUGUCACCUUCUUAUAGAUAUCUUACCAAAACUCACCGCUUAUCAGUUAUCACAUUAACUCGUCUUUCUCUCUUUUUCCUUUUAUGUCACUUUUGCAUUCAGCUUCAACAUCGAAAACCUCUCACUCUUUUGUCUCUUUCACAUCACGACACAACCCAUUUAAUGGACCAUCAUUUAAUCGCUGUAACCGUUUGAUGUAAACAUAUCAAAACUAUACAGUUUUUUUUGAGAAAAAAAUUAUACAAUUUUGGUUAUUUUUUUCUCUAUAAUAUUUUCAAGAUUUAGUUAAUUUUGCAAGGAUUAAAAACUAAUAAUAUGUUACAUGCUUGCAUUUUUAUUUUUAUCGAAUACGAAACCAUAUACACAACCUUUAAAUGAUCCAAAAUAACAAAAAACACUUAAAUAAAAUGUAAAAUCAUCUGUAAAUAAUAGAAAAAAAUACAUUAGUAUUGUUAAAAUAUUUGUUAGAAAUAUUACGCUAGGAUUGUUGCAUAUCAUACUCAAAAGGCUGAAAUAUCUUUCCAUAUCUUAAUUACACUACUCUCGUUUGUUGUUAUUGUUCUAUGAUCAGAUCGAUAUUAAAAUUUGUAAAAAAAUCAUACUGCAAAUCAACUUUUUAUUCAAAAAAACUUGACCACACCAGUUCUGCAUAUAUUUCAGAAACUGAAAAAACUAAUUUACCGUAACACAAAUAUAUGUGUACACAAAAUAUAUUCAGUUAUGUAUUUUCAUUUGUAUUUCUGAACACAAAAAAAAAGAACCCGACCGGUUUAAAUUCAGACGCGACAGUGGAUGUUCUCGUCAUCGUAGUCCACGGCCAGGGGCCGGCCCCGAAAAUUUGGGUACUUAAAUUUAAAAAAAAAAAAAAAUUAAGAGCUUAUUUACAUAUAAUUUUUUUCAAAAAAUUUGGGGACCUAAGGCCAAUGUUUCAUUAGGCUUUGCUCAGGACCGGCCCAGUCCACGGCAUCGGCAACUCCAGCUGCAAGAUCUAGGAGUUUAUCCAUCAGCACGGGCAUUUCCUUGAGCGUGGUUGAAGCAUUGUCACUGUUUGUCCCAACCAAUCCUGCCACGCGUCUCAUUUUGUCGUUAGAAGCCCUAACGUCGUAGUGAGCUGUAUCCGGGGAUAGCUUGAGCUUCACGUUUGCGCUCUUGAGAUCAGCCACCACGGCUAAGUAAGCCUUGUGGCACUCAGUGAACGAAGCCUUCAGCGUUGGAUCUUUCUUUGCCGUCUCAUCCACAAAAACCGCUGUCUUCUCGGCGUGGGAUACGGCGAGGGCCAUCACGGCCACGGCCAGUGGAUUCUUUUCAGAGAUAAUAAAGACAUUUUGUUAGGAAAAAUAAUAAUGAUCAGUCUCAUUUGCAAUUAAUACCAUGCAGAACGUUUGAACAAGUAAUUUUAAAUCCGGACCAAACCAGCUGUUUAAACUGCGAACCAGAAAUAUAAAUAACAAAAUCAAAAGCAUCGAACCGUUAAUAAUCCAAUAUCAAUCCGCCAAAAACCCGAAAACCAUCGAACCAAAUAAACUGAAUAUCACCGGACUUGUUUAUAAAAAGAACACUAGUACAAAUAAAACUUUGAUAUUUUAUUUGGUUUGUAUUUAAAUUUAUUUCAAAAUCAUUUAUUAAAACCUUUAAUUACUAAAUUCAACUAUAUUAAAAAAAUGACAAAACAUAUAGAUUUGGUUCUAGUUAUUGUUCUAUGAUUGAUGCAAUCGAACCAAAUUGAAUUCGGUCGAACUGUAUUAACCAUUGAUCCAAAAACUUUUUUAGGUUUUGUUACCAUAUCGGUUUUAGAAACAUUGGUUUUAACCGAAAAGAAUGAUCAUUCUCAUUCAAAAUCAUUCACAUGCAAAGCAAACAGUAGUAAAGAUGUCUUUGGUUGAUUUUAAGAAACAAAACAUACGCAACAAAGAAUAUGGUUAGUCAAUGGGAGCAGCCGUAGGGGGAUUGGUAGUCAAUGUCUGGAGGCAGAAAGCUUGGUCAUGUGAGCGAUCGCAGAUCGCGUCAAUGUAUUUCAAAUGAGGCGACGCUGAUGCUGAGCUUAAGAGUAGCCAUUUAUUUGCGUCUGAAUGUUUCUUUUCUCGGGUCCGUUAUUCAAUUUUAUGUUGUUUGUCUUUUAGUUUAGGGGGUAUAUAUAUUGUACACUUAGUUGGCUAGAUUAGGAACGUUGGAUAACUUUAGAAAAUACUAUAUUUGUAAUCAGAUACAUUAAAUACUAAAAUUAUAUUUAUACUUGCUAAUUUUGGAGGACCUAUGUGAAUGCGGUUUGUUGUUUGUGUUUAGUCGACGACAAAGUCCAUUAUCGUCUUCCCUUGUUUAGGAAACUAGGAUACGACGUGACAAGUGUUGACUGUUGAGGAUGAUAGAACAUAACACAUUUCACUGAAUCUUUAUUUGACGUAUAGGCAUGGCGUUUUGGAUACCCAUUCAUAUCCGGAUCCAUUUUUUGGGUUCAGUCUUUUGAAUCCAGUUCAGAUUCAUAUGUUCAAGUAGUUUCGGUUAAUGAUGCUUUGGAUUCAGGAAAAUUUUAUAACGUUGUCUAAGAUGCUUUUAGACCUGAAUUCAUUUCAGACAAAUUUUGAAUAUUUUUAUGGUCAGUUCAAAAUAAACAUAAAGCUAAUAUUUGAUAAACUUAAUUGUUUUUUAUAUCUAUUUUAGAUAAUAAUUCAGAUUUUAAUCAAAAUCAUUCAAGUUUUUGGAUAUCCAUUCGAAUUCAAUUAACAUUGAAUACAUUAAAUACUAUUCUAAAGAAUUUGUUUGGAUAUUUUUACAUAUUGGAUUAGAUACAGAUUCAGGUUUUCAGUCUGGAAUCAAUUCCAAUCUCGAGUUCACUUACAAAUGUCCAGACUUAUAUAUAUCUUUGGCUGAGCUAAACACAAGAAGCUAGAUAUUAUCAACGCAAAUACAGAAUGGAAUUCCACAUAAUAUCAACAACAGAAUAUCACACAAUACACAAUUAAGGAAACGAAAAGAAGAUCAGAAAAGGGGACUAUACUCAAAGAUUACAUGAACUGACUGGCAAAUCCCCCAAAACCAAAUCAGAUCCUUCCGACUUCUGUCCUAAAAAGAGACCUCCUCCAAAUGUUUGGUACCAAUUAAAAAAAAAACAAAAGUAAUAAACACAUCCUCCCCCUUCUCCUCCCUCUUCUGUUACUUAGCUCCGACUCUCCCUGACAUUAGAACUACUCACAUCUGCUUCUAUAUCCCAGCUCCCACUUCUUCUACUCCCCCAGCUUCCAUGCCUCGUCUCCGUCCUUAUCGUUCCCGCUCUCUCAGCAACCCCAAGCAUCGAUUGGUCAAUAUCCAAACCAUGACGAGGUUGCUCUGCUGGAUUACACCGCUGUGAUAUAUUCAUAAGAUCGUCCCCAAUGUCUAGAUCAUCCUCCACUUUCUGUCUCCGGGUUCCGGCUUCAUCCUCUGACUCUCUGGUGGUUGUUGUAACAACUCUUGGAGGCUCUUCUUCCACGAAGGCUCUAAAGUUGUUCCUCGAGGGCUUAACCUUGGUGCAAAACACCUCCAUGAAAUUGUUAGCACAGCCGCGGUUAUAAGCAACGGUUCUGCUGUUUGCUCUGUACCGGAAGUUCUCAUAGGUUGUCUGGUUUGUGCUUAUGAGGUACAAGUGAAACCCCGUGAGCCCUCCAACAAACCAGAAGCCAAUAAAGCAAUAUAUCAUCAGCGCAACCGACCAAGGAGAUUCUUUCAUCGCCAUCCACACGGUUCCGCGUUGAUGUUCCAUCAGAAUCUUGAUGUAUAACGCCGAGAUGGAGAACACGUAGAUGCAGAGAAGUGUCGCCGAGGAGACAAACAUAAAGAAGUACCUAUAGUUUCUCUGCCAAUGAACUUUUCCAAGUCAGUAAUCUAUUUAACAUUUUUUGAAAUGAGUUUUUUUUUACCAGUCCAAUGCAUUGGCCCACCCAGGGGCAAUGAUGAUCAAAGCGCUCGACGCAGUUGUUGCAGAUGGAGCAGUGGGAGCAGCGUGGAGGCCUGUAAAGCAUGCACGUGUCGCAGUAUUUCACUCUAACGGAGACGCCGUUAACGAUGACUUCUUUCGUCCGAGGAAUCUGAACGCUUGGUGUUUGUCUUCCGUCUGCUGAUAGUGUUGUCUCGUAGCGUAGAUCUUCCUCUGGUGGAUGUAAGUUUCGUGGGACAAUGCCAGGGUCUCGUGCAGAUGUGAAGGAGAGGAGGAUCAAUACCUAAUCCAAAAAACCAACAACGUGAUUCAGCAAUGAACGCCAAGAUGUAUGAAUAUUAAAUGGGCACAGCAGAAGACUAACAUAAAUAGUGAAGAGAAUUGCAACGACCAAGAUAGCGUAACCAGCAUUGUAGGGAGAGAACUCGUGGCGAAGAUGCCUUGCUACAAACACGCAGAAUAAAAUAACAGGGACUAUGAUGAGGAGGACGGUGACAGGGACUGAUCUAGCAUCCGGGCCGAAGAUUAAUCUCCCACCAAGGAUGAACUUCUGAAAAAAAGAGCAAGGACAGAGCAUAUCAAGAUCAUAUAGAGAUAAGAUUGCUCUAAUUUAAACCACCAAACUAAUGUACGCAGCUUAUGAAUCCCCAUAACCACUGAUUAUUCAACGUAGUUCGAGUCAAAAUGGUUGUGAACGCAUCAUCAAGGCAUUAAAGUUUCAUGCUUUUCACACAGGAAGCACAAGUUUUACAAUUUCUCCAUACAUGAGUUUACAGCAUACCAAAGCUGAACCAAUCAAGAAACAAGGCAAAAUAAACUAAAAAGUAAGCAACUUUCAAACCAGAGAAGAGAAGUGAGAGAAGUAUCCAUCACCCAGACCAAACCCAAGAAACAAAAACAGUAAAGUAAGAUAAGGAAAGGGCUUACAUUGCUUCCUUUCCAGGCUUGGAAGACUCGUUGUGUCUGUGUCAUGGAGCGAGAGAAGAAGAAGCGACAGAAAGCAGAAAACUUUGAAGGUACCCAGAAGACGAAACUCGAGGACAGCGCGGUGUAUAUAUAUAUCUUCCCCGUUAGUUCUAUUUCAUAGAAAAGGGGCUUUCGUUCUUCCGAUGAGAAACCUAAUAGUACAAAGGAAUUGAUUAUACAAUAUAUAAUAAGGGCGGGUCGCGACUCGAGCGACUUAUGGGCUGACCUCCCUCAAGGACGACGACGACGACGGGGGGGUGGUGUUUUGUAUUCUGCGUCGUCUUGCGUGCGACGCGACGAACCAACGAUCGAUUGCUUCUUCCUUCUCUCUACUUCGUUUUCUAUUCCCUGUUUUUUUUUAUAAUAUUUCUUGGUUUAUAUGACGUCAUCAUGUUUACCCUCCUAAACCACAAUUAUUUAGUUGUACUUGUAGUUAGUACCCCCUCGCUUUUUCUUGUGACUAGUUGGUGUUUUUGAAAUUUUAUGAUUUGAAAUUAGGUUCCGAUUUAUGCUAACAUCUUAUAUCAAAAUAAAAAUUAAACUGAUCACUUGACAACAUUUUUCUAACCUUAAACCUACUCCAAAACACACAAAGAGGGGUGAGUUUGACAACCAUUAAUAGCUCUGACCUCUCAGUUUCUUCUACCUUCUCAGGUAACACUUUGAUCUCGGCUUCAAAUUAAUCCAACCCGUCUUAAAAUAAAAUUGCAUACUACUUCCACCAUUCUGUUAUGUGGAGUUUAAUCCUUAACUAUUAUUACGUGACAGACCCCCCAGUUCAUGAUUGGGAUCUUAAUGAAGCCAGUUCAGAAUCAUACCAUGCCUGCUUCUCUUUCAAAUCUUGUCUAGAGAGGCAACUUCUGCAGUUGUAAAGAUCUGUAGAGCCACUGACACUAGACGAGAUAGCUGAUCGUUGCCAAGCUCCCGAGGAAGUAACUUCCAAAUAAAUUAAAAAAAAGCUUUCCAUUGGUAGCUUAUUGAAUGGAAGGAGCAAUAAGUUUUUAUCUUUUGGAUUUGCAGAAAGAGAUGAUAUACAAGAUCAUAGUACUUAAUUUGCAAAGCGACAGAGUUCUGAUAGCUGAAGCCUGCUGUGGAUCGCCAAAUGAGUGUUAAAGGAUGACAUGUACGCAUGGUAAACACAACACUAGCUCAAAACGCAAAACAAUCUGCAUUCUCUGUUUCCCUCAUUUAUUUGUGAUUUUGACAAGGAAAAAGAAAAAAACAAAUGUGCACUUGUUUUUGAAAUACAGAUUAUUUCAGAAUGUGAACUAAUCUUUAACAUUGCAUGUUUGUGGAUAACAUAAUAGAGAAGAAGGAUACACCAACGGCAUUCUGUACAGAUAUAAAAUUAAAUGAUAUAGAAACAUUGUUGUAACUUAUGAGCACCACCACCCUGUGAGUUAGAUGUGUUAUUCAAUUCAGAUAAGCUUUGAUAUAGCCUUGCAAGACACCCAGAAGGCUUUAGAUGCAAUACUCAGGAUCAUCGGGUUUUGAUAUAUCCUGUAGUUGCCAUUAAAAGGAUAUUGGUGAGAACUUAGAAGCAUUCAAAGUAAGGAUGUGAUGUUAAAAAGAAAAGAGUGUGUGUUUGGUGAAUCAAUGUACCCUAUAGCAGUGGCGCUCCAUGAAGCAACAUUGUAAAUAACUUUACUACCUUCCCAUGCUUUACGAAGUUUCCCCUUUCUCUUCUUCACAGAAAACAUGGUGCUAAGUGCUACAUUCCCAGUUCAUAAUAAGCACAUACUCUUAGUAUCUGAUUUUUUUUUUUGAUAAGGAGAAGAGACAUAAUAAAAGUCAAACUCACUAGCAUACCUUUCUGAAGCUGAUCAGGUGAAAUAUCCUACAAAGAAAAAAAGAUAUCACACUCAGAUUAACUACACAUGAUAAGUUCACAUAAAGGACACAGAGAUGAACGUACGUACCUUAGUCUGCUCAAGGGAAGAUAAAUAAGUAACCAUGAAACAAGCAAUACCAUCUGCUACAUCUUCUUCCCUAACGACCACAUAAUCAUCUUCCAUACUUUUGUCACCCCAUAAUAUAUCAUCUUCACUAACUACAUCCCAAGAGCUACCAUCUUCUGCCAAAAUUCAACAACCUAGAGUUAAAGCUAAACGCAACACGGACAUAUAACUUAUUCAAACUGUAAUGAACUUGUUUACCAGCAGGAAGGUCUUGGAGGAG
rnacentral:lncRNA from 1 species